AUCCGGAGUCGUCCUCCGCCCUUUGGGCAGUCAUCGUUAUAAUACUUCAUGGUUACCUUCUCAGGGGUAAUGGGAGACAAUAAGGGGUGCAGGAAAGCAUUAUUAGUUCUGAUGACUUGCGAUUAUUUGUCACAAAAAUCCCAAGUGAGGACUUGCUUCAGGGACCUCAGUAGAGAGACAGUUGUGACACAUUGAACCCUGGCUGGAAGCUAAUGGCUGUGAUAGUGGAAAGGGAAACAGGAGAGACUGGCGGGAUCUCUGUGGAGGAAGGGGAAGCUCAGGAGAAGAAAGCAAAGAAAGGCGGCCAGGAACUGGCCUCUCACCACAUGGAGCCAUGUGUGUGGGCGGUCACUGUGGCAGUUAGAGGGAGAAGCAUCCCCCACAGUUUCAGGAGGUUCAUACUUAGCCCCAGUUAGCAGGCAUGUUUGGGAAGGUUCUGGAACCUUUAUGAGAGGAAGCCUUGCUAGAGGAAGUACGUCACAGGGGCGGGCUUUGAGGGUCUACAGCUUUUCCCCACUUCCUGUCCUUGCCCUCAGCUUCCUGUGCGUGGAUGAAAAGGUGAUCAUGAAGCUCAUCUUUGUCUUUGAUGUGGACUCUGUUCCCCUUGAACUGUAAGCCAAAAUAAACGCAACAGGAAAUUAGCUAAUAAGGACACUCUACUCUUGUUUCCUCUCAGCCUCUGUUCUCUGGCCUCCUCAGGUGCUGGCUUCACCUCCAUCCUCUGAGAAUGGUUGGCCCAAAGAGAGGAAAGGAUUAGAGUAGACAUUCUGGAUUGUACUGUUUGAUCUAGAGAUUAACAUAAUUCUGACCAAACGCCAACAAGCUUCCAAGUUCAUAAGGAAAUACAGCAAACUUCAAAUAGCCUAAACAAGGAGAAAAAGAAAAAUCACAGGCGGGUGACUAACUGCCACUGAUUCUGGCAUUUAAUACAAAGCUUCAGUAGUCAAGGAUGGAGUGGUGCUGGAUUUAGGAGGGACAGAUGCAUAGGGCAUGAUGGAGUGUCCAAAAGGAGAUAGCAUUUAUGGCCAGAUUCUUAAUUUUUAAGAUAAAAGUGCAAAGUGAAUUCAGUGGGUAAAGAAUGUUCAUUUGAGCAAAUGAUGCUGAAAAAUAUUGUAGUUCUGUAUGUACAAUAUGAGUUCAACUCCACACUGUAUAUCAUAUGAAGACAAUGAUAUCAGUAUCAUAUGAGAGGAUGUCUAGACCUAACCUAAAGCCUGUAGCAUCGAUACUUCUGUAAGAGAACAGGACUGCUCUGUUGUGACCUGGGAUCAGACCAGAAUCUAAUAAGAGAUUCCUGACAUUGUAAACCAUUAGGGAAGUACAAAUUAAACCCACAAAGAGGUACCCAUACAUAUAUAUAUGUACUAGAAUUGUUAAAAUCAAUGACUGACUAUCCCAAGUGUUGUCAAGGUUGUGGGUCAUAGAGUUCAUGCUGUGAGUAGAAAAUAGGCCAACUACUGUAGAAAACAACUGGGCAGUUUCUUAAAACUUCAUACGCCAAAUGGUCAAGGCAUUCCACUUCUAGGAUUUACAGGUGAGAAAAAAGCCUGGUGUGUGUGUGUGUGUGUGUGUGUGUGUGUGUGUGUGUGUGUGUGUGUGUAUUUGAACACACAUGCUCACAUGGGCUUUAAAUCUGUCCAUCCUUCCAUCUGUCCAUCCAUCCAUCCGUUUAUUUAUUUAUUGAUGUAUUUGUUUUGUGUGUGUGUGUGUGUGUGUGUGUGUGUGUGUACAUGUUCACUACAGUACACAUGUGGAGGUUAGAGGGCACUCUAUAGGAGUCAGUUCUCUCUUUUCACCGUGUAGAUGAAAGCUGAGUUCCUCAGGCAAGGCCGUGAGUGAAUGCCUUUCCCUGAGGCAUCUUCCUGGUCUGAACUUCAUUUUUAUAGUCAAAAUUACAAAUAGCCCAAACAUGUUUCAAUAGCAGGUCAAUAAACAGAAAUAUGUACAGAUAACAACUAGCUCUUAUCAAUGAACAGAAAUGACCUAUUGAUACAUGAUGCAGCAUGGGUAUGUCUCAAGGAUAAUUAUUUUGAAUAAAGGGAAUAUAGCCCUCUCCAUCAGUAAAUACUCAGGGCAAGGUAAUUCCUAAAAACAUUAAUAUUAAAGCAGGUUCCUUCCAGGAGCAGCAAUGGCUGGUAUAAAGACGUGUGUGACUGAAGAGAUGAGCUUUUUUUUUUUAAAAUGGGAAAUGUUUAAGAUGAAUCAUGUCUUUUACAUGUGGAUAUCUUGAUUGUGGAAGUGACUUAUUGGGCACAGGUGAAAUCAGCUUAUUAAUUCUAUAUUUUGUGAGCUGUCAUGUGGGAGCUGGGAACUGACCCCGCUGGGCUAUCUCUCCAGUUCCAUAAGUUCUGUGUUUUAAGUUUUAAUUGUUUCUUGUAUGUCAAUAAUGCUUUGUAAAAUUAAAAAAUAAUAAAAAAGCAAGUUUAGUUCACAAAUGGGAUGACUCUUACUGGUUUAAAAUGUGAUUUUCUUAUGAAUGUGUGUGGUUUGGUAACAUUUUCAGUUUAAGCAGCCAGUUUCCAGAGCAUUAGUGAUGUGUAAGGUUUGGUUUUUACUCUAAAUGUUACGUGUAGACUUAAAACACCGAGGAAGAUAGAGAAGAUCCCCGUUUGUGGGCAGUGCUGUGAAACAAAUGAGACAGAACGUUGAGUCAGACUUGCUCUGUACUGUUAAGGUGCAGAGUCAUGCUGUGCUUUGCGCUGGGAAAACUAUUCCCCAAGUCCGUUCAUCUUCAUGUAUGUAUUAAAUGCCUACUUUGGGUUUCAUAUUUGAAGGUGCCCAAAGAAAGAAUGGCAUUCAAGUUCAUAUUCGGUCACACAGAUGAGAUGUCUGAGCCAUCAUGAAGUUAGAUCAAGAAGAGGCAGACUUUAUCCAACAUCUGCAACACAACGAUUGACAUUUCUUCCUGUAAUAUGUAACUUUUUAAGCUUUAGUUGUGAGGUACAGGUCUCUUCUGGGGAGAAAAAGGGCUUUUUCUUUCAGUUUACUAAUUAUAUGCAAAGGCUUGGAGGGGGAUUCACUUCUGUGUCCAUCCUUCUUUUGAGUCUCUUGGCCUAAGACCUGAUUUGGAGGUUGGUAAACAUCAUUUCUGGCCCAGUACCCCACACUUGGAAUUGCAGCACAGCCUCUGGGUGUAGGAAUAUCACACUUUCCGACAAGUUAUUCCUCUGUGUGUAGACUUUCCUUACGUGAAAGGGACUCUUCACGCGUGUAGGAACUGAAAGUUGUUUCUGGAGAAAGAUCUGCUUUUCCCGCUGCUCCCGUUCCUGGUGUCUCACGGCAAUGGCUUUACAGGGUCUGUCUUUAACAUGCUUCCUUUCUUCCCACCGUUUGUCCCCCUGCAGGCUCUGCUUAACCAGGGCCAGCCAAGGUCUUGAGCAGCUGUGCCUGUGGCUCCCAGUCUGCCUGGUGGUGGGUGUGUCUGUAUUUAUAGCUUGUCAUCCCUCAGCCAUCCUUGGUUGCAUUGUGUGGCCGCUAAGCACAUUCUUGGAUUGCAGGCUUCUGUGUGUGUGUGUGUGUGUGUGUGUGUGUGUGUGUGUGUGUGUGUGUGUGUGUCUGGCCAUCCACACAUGCAUGCAGGCAUGCAUGAUGCCGAGAUUAUGCCUUGCCUUUUAUGUCUCCAGCCCCAUUUAUGAAGCCAUUCCUUUGUUCUUAUGUGUGUUCCUCUAUCUUCCCAUGGGACCCGGGAUCUUGCCCAUGCUAGGCACUUACUUUACCACUGAGCAACACCAAGUCCCACCCUCAGCCAGGUCCACUCAUCUGUCAUUUUCUUGUGUUCUCUUCUCUUUAUCAUACCUGCUCUGAGAGAGGAAAAAAGUUACCAGCCCCAAUAAAUUCGAAUUUAACUUAAUUUCUCCACGAAUGUGUGUCUCUUACCCUUAGUUUCUUGAGCAGUGCGGAAAAAGCUUUUCUGCCUUGAUGGGUUUCAGGCACUGCGAAGAAUCUUUCAAAAAAAAAUACAACGUGGUGCUCUGAGAUUAUACUGUGGGGCAGUGAGUUACUCUGCCCUCGUGGUCCCCUGUGGAACUUUUAGGGCUCCCUGGGACACAGUUUAAAAACCAAUGACAUGCUUUUGGCUCCCUGGGGAACGUAGACAUCUGACCUCGAUGCGGAAGUAUGCAGUUAUAGCAGAAGUUCUCAACCUGUGGGUCACAACCCCCUGUCAUGGUUGAAAGAACCUUUCACAGGGGUUGCCUACAACCAUCAGAAAACUCAGAUAUUUUCUUUACAAUUCAUACCCACAGCAAACUUUACUGUUAUAAAGUAACAACAAAAUAAUUUUAUUGUCGGUCGUCAAUGCAACACGAGGAACUGUAUCAAGAGGGUCCCAACAUUACGAAGGCUGAGAACCGCUGACUUACAGGAUGGAGAACCAGUGGCAAUUGGCUUUGCUGACUGUCCACCAUGUUUAACUUGCAGUGCGGGUGGUGGGUGCCUCUUUGGCUGCUGUAUUCUCCUCUAUUAAUAGUCUCUGCUUAAAUCUCCACCCAUCAAAAUAAACCUCAUCCACCCGACUGUACGUCACCGCUGUCCUGACAAGCUGAUCCUACAAUUCAUGAUGUAAAUCGGGACACUGGGGGAGUCAAAGAGCCACUGAAGGGAAAACAGGCCCAGACUGGGACUGUUCUCGGCAAAUGAGGGCAUCCGUAGCUAUUUCUGACUCCUUCUCUGCCGUUUCUAUUCAUUGUUCCCUUGUGCUGAAUUGGUUCGAACCUCUGCACAUCUCAUUGUUCCUGGUAUUCGAGUGCAAGUAAAUUGUCAAUGCCAGUGUUCUCUUAAAGUCUGAAUUCCUAGAAAGCAGAUGCACUCUCCUGUUUGUCUUUUCCGGAGCAUUUGGCAUACAGUGCUGCACGCGGAGUAAACACUGAUGGGGGCGGAAAAGAGAGAAGUCAGCAGGGAGCCAACACUGAUACAUCCUGGUAAAUACCUUACAGAAUCGAAGGCCACCACCCCAUCAAGCAUCUAGUAACUGUCUCCUUUUUACAAGGUCCUGGGCAUGGGACUAGGCAUCUAGACCUCUUGGUUUCUUCUCUUCAAAGAUGAGGAGAUUUGAGCUGAAGAGAUGUCGUACAAGCAUGAGCUCUCUAGCACCCACAUAAAAAAACCAGCUGUGGCGGCCUGUGCCUGUAACACCACCAUCACUGGGAAAAUGCUGACGGAAGGAUCCCAGGGACUUAGAGUCCUGAUAACCUAGCUGAUUGGUAAGUUCUAGGUUCAGUGAGACUCUCCUAAAGCCGAAAAUGCUUGAGGAAAACACCCGGUGUGUUGAUAAUCUGGCCUCCAAACACACUUGUUGUACACAUGUGGCCAUGCACCCCCUGGGCAGGCUAACUUAGAGAAGAAAGAAUUUAUUUGUGCUGAUGGUUCCAGAGAUUUAGAGACGGCAGAGUGGAGGCAGCAGGCAUGAAUCUUUAAACUUUCAAAGCCCACCCCUAGCGUCAUACUUCGUCCAGCAGAGCCACACUUCCUAAACACACCUAAACAGCGCCACCAACUGGAGACCGAAUUUUCCAAUGCCUGAGACUGUGGGGGACAUCCUCAUUCAAAGCAGAGACUAAUGGGGAGCGUUCUGUUUAUGCUGAGUACUUUCUAGGGAUGCUGUAAGGCCACGGGAAGUGACGUGAGCAGAGGCACUUUGGGAGAUUCUUCGUGGCAGCUCCUCUGCAGGUAUGAGGCGACAGCGUCAUUUAUGUGCGUGUUUCUGGAAACAGCAGCACUUGGCUGCUCAGGGGCCGUCUUAGCUGAUGGAUUUGGAGUUCAGAUUUUAAGUCUCUUCCCCUACAUUCCAAAUUUGGCUUAAGUAAAUGUGGUUGAGCUAAGGUUUGAGAGUAACCAGGACAUACACUAUUUGAGCAAGUCAAUUGGUUUCUCUGAGUGUUUCCCUUUUCUGCUGAGUGAAGCGACUCCUGUAAUCUAUCCCAGGGCGGGGGGAGCCACACCUGUCGUCCAUCCCAGGACAUGGAGUGGGGCUCAAGUCGAGUGCAUAUGAGAAACCUUUCUGAAAUAAGCAAAUGUGGUCAUGAAGCUAGGGACUACCUCAGAAUGCUUUUCUCUUUGUUCUGUGACCUCAUGUUUGGUAUCUUAUUAUCCACCCCUUUACUCUUUUGACUGUAUAUGGUUACACGUUUUUCUGCAUAUAAGUCCUAUUAUUUGUUAGGAGAUAUUUCAACAGAUAUUCCAAGAAAAUUUUCUGGGUAUGCUAAUGCUUAAAUUUCUGAUAUAUUUGUUUAUUGUCCUAUCUUCACAAAAAAAUAGCUACUCCAACUUAAUUUGUUCCAUGUGCAUAAGUUCUGAGGCAAGAUAAUGCUCUCCGUCUACCCCUUGAGGAUAGCAGCAUGCACACCCAGACAUCCAAAUCUACCGGGGCAUAACUGGCAUGAAGGGCCUUAGACAUGUUAUAUUUUAGCAAAACGCUGCUGUGUCCUGAAAUCCCAGCUCUAGGCAUGGUGCCUAGCUUCCUGUAGAUGCCUGGAGCAAGGUCAGUGAAGACCUCCAGAGCAGCGGUCAGCAGAAGCAAGUGGUGAGUGAUGGCGCCGUUGAUGGGGCCAAGAGUGACUCACGGUCGGGUUCAUUCCAUCUUUAAGAACCGUCCUAAUACAGCUUGGCUGUUGCCUUUCAAUGAGGGUAAUACCAUCUCAGAGGUUACCCGAAUUUUCACUCUUUUCCCAGCAGUUGUAUUGUCAGCAGCAAUGAGAUGUGUCCCGUACAUCUGUCCUUGAGAAAUUCAAAGGAAAUUGCUUCCUUGCCAGAGGAGCACAGGAGGAGCCCCGAUACAGGAUUGUCUACACUCAGGAUCCGUCCCAAGGCUGUUUCUAUCUGACCCAUAAAUAAUCCAUUCAUUCUUCCUCCGUCUCGGUUUCACGUGGCCAACAUGCAGUUCCUGUCAAAAGGGCCCUGGGAGUGCUGCUCCAGAGCUCGGAGGACGCCCUGCAUUACAGAAUUCGCCAGCCUGAGUUGUAGCGAAGAUGCCAGUCUCUUCUCUGUAAACAAGAUUUAUUUUAGGGCAUCUCUAAAGCUUUUUGUUUUCUUCUACACUGUGUCAAGAGAACACCCCUUGGGGACAGUGAAUUAUGCCCUGGCACAUUCCUCCUGAGCACAUGUUUAUAUUUCAGAGUGAAAGAGCCCCCUUAGCUUGCUAAGAAUUUAUAUAGCAAAGGUCGAAAUUCCUCAAGUCCCUUGUAAAGUCAUUAUGGUUGAUAUGACCUCUGGGAUCACGCACAUCUUGAAGUAGCUUGUGUGCUUCUUGAUCAGGGUGGAGCUCUGUGCAGGACUAAUUGCUGCUGGGCACGUGUGCUUCUGUUUUAGCUUCUAAAGCUAAAAACACUGCUGUCCUGUAUAAUCCAUCGAUAGCCUUCAAAGAUGUCAUUUUCCUUACAUGUUAGAGGUGUUUUCUGUUAUUUGUGACCUUAAUUAGCCAUUGGGAGAGUUGAGCUUUUGCUUUUUUAUUUAAGUUUUAAACUAACAUGUUAUGUUGCCUAGUGUGUGUAUGUGUGGAGGUCAGCGACUGGUGUCUGAUGUCUUUACUCGGUUGCUCUCCACCUCAUUUUUGGUUGAUACAGAAGGAUCUUUCAGUGAACCCAGUGCUCACCAGUUGGCCAGACUGACUGGUCAGCGAGGAUUGUCUACACUUCUCUAUCCCUAAGCCCCACGUUAGGGUUACAGACAUGUGCAAUUGUGCCCAGAGUUUUACUGUAGAUUCCAGGGAUCCAAACUCAGGUCCCCACACUUGCAUGGCAGGCAAUUUAUGACCAAGUUGUCCUUCUCACUCCUGGGCUUUUUGUCAUUUGGUUGGUUUUUAAAUUUUUUUCAUUUACUUAUUUGAUUAUUUAAUACUGAAAGAUUUAAGCAUUCUAGCACAUUUCUUUUUGGAAUGUAUUCAUAACUUUAACACAUUUUAAGUCAAAGACACUAAAUUUCCUACUGUUUUGUUGACCAAGCCGUUAUUAUCUGAGCGCAGCAGAAUGCCAAACUGCCAUCAGCAGAAUGGCUAUUGAUUUCGUAGUAUUGGGCAUCUGUUACGGAACAAUGUUAUUGGCUAAAUUCUGGGUGUGACAGUUGGUGCUGACUGUCAACUUGACAAGGUCUAGAAUCACACAGGAGACAAAGACAUCCUUGAGAGGUUAUUUAGCCUAAGUUAACCUCUGCGCAUGCCCAGGAGGGAUUGUUUGAUUGGGUGACUCAGGCGGCACCAUUUCCUGGGCUGUCUACACAGGAGGAAGCUAGCUGGCUACCGGGAGAGCCUUCAUCACCCUCUUCUUCCUGAAUAAGGACACAAUGUAUGACCAGCUACCUCAGCUCUUGUCACACUUACUAACCUACCAUGAGGGAAUGCACCUUUAAACUUGCUGUCAAUGGGAAUAACACGGGCACCAUAAGUCAGGUUGAGCAGCAGCCUCUCAAGUACAAAAGAAGGGGCUAGAAGACUCUGAGGAUGAGAAGCAAGCAGACCGAAGGGCAGUGUCAAGUCCUCCAGAAGGAAAGAACUUGGCGUUUUGAAGAACAGCAGAAAAUCCAGUCUGGGUGGACCCAAGUCAGGAAGAAAGUGCAUGGUUUCAGAUACAGAGAGAAUUAAGUAGAGGCCAGGACACCCAGGUACUCCAAACACUACCACAGGGAUGCAGAAGACCUGACUGAGGUGGCUUCAUAGAAGUGGAAGGAAGAGAUCAAAUCUUUGGUUGUUUGUUGAGCCAAGCGAUUUCCAAGUGUGCGUCCAGAGAGGAGACAACACCAAACAACUCUUGGGCGCCUACUGAGGACAAUGCAAGUGUCUUUCAUGACACUUGGGGUUAUUGAUUUUGAGAGACCAGUAAGAUGUUUAAGUAUGCUAGUGAGAGGACAGUUGUGUGUGCACAUAGGUGACGGGGACAGUUUGAGGUCAUCAUUUAAACUUCUUUACAUUGCUGUGUGUAAUUGCUUAUGGCCCUGAGAGGAGAGCAUUAGGCCAGAGUCCGAGGGGCUCAGAAGUUGGUACUUGGUAUGAGGGUCCUGUAGGAGUCUGAGGAGGAACAGCCAAAGGAGAAGGGAAAAUCAAGAAUAACAGCCUCUCUGUGCUUAGGGGAGAGUGUUGCAACGAGGGCUGGCUUCACAUAAUCCAUGCUUCUGGUGCUCUGAGGCAUAGAAGUGUCCACUAGGGUAGAGACUCCGAGUUUCUACAAGUGCCAUGGUAACCUGAGCAAAACCAGGUUCAUCAAGCAGUGAGGAAAGAAACUAGAUUCAGACAGCUGGGGGGGUGGUGGUGGUGGUCCAUGAGUGGAAGCAGACAUUUUCUCCUCUUAGCUAUGUGUCUGUGAAGGAUGGGAGAGAGAAAAUAGGAAAUAAAGAGGAGAGAACAUGGAGGGAGUUGCCUUCAUGCUGUUGGGAAGACAAGAACUGAAAGAAUAGGUGGAACCUCAGAGAACACUCAAGGGCAAGGGAAGGGAAGGGAAGGGAAGGGAAGGGAAGGGAAAGGAAGGGAAGGGAAGGGUCUCGAGUCCUAUGGAAGGACUCGCUUCUGUAGGACACAGAAACCAUAUUUUUGCUGUUUGUUUUGUACCAAGGAGGUGAUGUCAGGAGAGACGUUGGUGUAGAUAGGUUUGCCCAUGAGCCAUCUUGACAAAGUUGAGGAAAUGUCCAUCAGGGAAUGGGGAGUCUACUUAGAAAAAAAAUAUGGUAACUUUAUGAUUGAAUUUGCUAUUUGUCUGUGUCUUGCUUUAAACAAUAGAACAUGUCAAUACCAGUUGAGGCAAAUUCUCCACUCUCUCAGCAACCCUGAGAUGCUAGCACUGCCCUGCUAAAGAUGUUCCAUGAAGUCAGACUACAGAAAACCCUGGAGAGGGAUUACUUUUGAGAGACAAAAAGACAGGGGCUAGGGUGAGAAAAGAAGGAGGGGAAUUAUUUGGGUUGUGAGGCACGGGACUGUGGUCAGUUGUGGGGUAGCUUGUGGGCAGCGUCUGCUCACCGAAGCAACAGAGUGGCAUUUGUUAGGUAACUAGAAAUGGCAGAUGGGACCCACCCUGAUGGAUUUGUUCUUGGUAUUCUCCUGGAGUGUAUAGUAGGAGAGAACACGAUGGAGCUGUUGCUGGGACGGCAUGAGGAACUGGGUAUGAGGGAGGCUCUGUCAUUCCUCGUGCCUCUACCUGGCUCUCGGCUCAGCCACCAUGAGGUAAACCCAAGAUUCCCAGUUUAUUCUUACAAAGUUUUUUUCUCUUGGCGGAUCACCUUGCUGUCCUUUUUUCAUAUCUGAUUUUGAAACUACUUGACAUUCUUGUCACUUUCCCCAUGUGUACUCCAGCUUGCCAAUGACCUUCUUAAAUGCGGUACCCACAACUGAGCCCAUCAAUUCUUGGAGUGGUCCUGGCAGCGGAGAACAGAAAACCACCAUUAUGGUCUUUUUUGUGUGUGUUUUAUGUUUUUGCUUUAGGCAUUUUUCUUUGUAAAUGGAACUUCAGAUUGCUCUAGUUUUAGGGGGAAACUGUAAUGCUGUUGACUCAUAUUUAGCUUGAAGGCAACUAAAACACCAAUGUCUUUUUUUCUUUUUAGACACAAUAGCUGUUAGGUCAAAUCUUACAAUUUUUUGAACAUAGAAUGGAGAAUUAAAUUGAAUCUGAUAGACUUCAGCUCAGUCUCCUAAACUCUUGCAGUAUUUAUUUUUUUUUCUUGUGGUCUAGCACUUUGGUUUCCUGUCAUUAACAGGUAUCAUAAUUGUCUUUAUCGCCAUCAUCUAUUUCACUAUUAAAAAACCAAACAACCAAACUAUCAGUGGCAUGCCCAUGGAAGCCCUGUUUAGACUGACACAAAGUUUAAAAAUCCUCUUCAGUAGUAACUUUCAGUAUUUGCAUUCAUGGUAUCUCUCCUUUUAGUAAAAGAUUCACAUGGAGAGAUAAUCUGAAAUUUAAAAAGAGCCAGUUAGGCACCCCGUGAACUGCUAAAAUGUCUACAUGAUGAUCUCUGUGCUGGUUAACGUAAGAAUCUCCCUCUCCCAGAAUCUUCCCCAAUUGGAUAACCAAUAUCCAAUAGAUCUUGGUGGAAUUGCCUAGAAGGGCAAGCCUCCAGGCACACCUGUGAGGGAUUCUCUGCAUGACCAUAGCUGAAGUUGGAGGCUCCUUCUUAACCAAGGCUGGCACAGUUUCCUGGGCUAGAGUCACAGAAUGAGCGAGAAGGAGACAGUCAGCAGGGCAUGGGCAUUGAAGAUGCUUUGCUCCCAGACUAAGAAUGCAAUGUGAGCUCUUUCAACCAUGAUUUCCCCACUGUAAAAUACUGUAUCCUUGUAAGCCAAAAGUGAACGAUUUUUUCAUUGGGUUCCUUUUGUCAGGGCAUUUUGUCACAGUGGUGGAGAAAGGAACUAAUGUAGACUGUGCUGUCUCCCCCAGCUACAGUUCCUGUGUAACCUGUUCCUGGGGCAGCUCUUGGAAUCUCCCAGUUACAUAGCUAUCUUUUCACUGGGUGCUCUUCUGAAAUGUUCGGUCUUCAUUGAGUAGCUCAGUGGAAACUCUAAUCUCUCUCGGCUGAGGGCCAACAACAGAGUGUGGUGUGUUGUAACACUGCUGUCCAGGAGCGUCGAAGGACGAUGGCAGCACUAAUUGAUCUCCAUGGCGGUCUUUGCGUCUAUAAACAGAAUAGGUUUUAGGACCAACUAAACCUGGUCUGCAUCCCUCCUUCACCAAAGACCAUGCUCUCCGGGACUUGAUUCCACAGUAACAGGAGAAGGUACUGUCUUCUCCCAUCCUUGACUCUCACGUCACUAAAUAAGGAAGCGCAAUUGUAGAUGAGCUGCACGUGCGCCCUCUGUCAAAGUUAAUUGAAAGAUAAGCAUCUUCCUCCAGGUGGUUAGCAAAUCAGGUGAAGCCAGCGGCUAAUUACUCUCCAAAAGAAAGUAGAAAUAAGGCCCUCUGUGACGUCUUCAGCAAUUAGAUAAACAAUAUCAAAUAAACUACGUUCUUCAUGAUCCUUAAAGGAAGCAAUAGAUAGGUAAUUCAGUCCCAGAUCACGAGAAGAUUGAGCCUUUUGAAAAAAAGUAACAAAAGGAGCAGUUUUACUUCUCUUUGGGUUAUUUCAGGCGGAAGUCUGUGCUUGUAACUGCUCUGCCCCUUUGCUGUUUUAGCGUGUCUAAGUCGAUGUGCUUCUAUUGUCUAUUAAGUCAAAUUCCGUUUUGAAAGUAAGCAGAAAGUGAAUAAUGACAUAUUGAGUAGCCUUCCAUAAAAAUGAAUUUGUAGAUUUGGAAGUCUUCAAGAUGAAUCUUUGUAUACAGUAUGGCAAAAAGACCUCGGAAUUGUGUAUGCAAACACUUUUUUUUUUCUUUUGCCAAAAGCAAUGCUUGUUUCUGCAGAUUUUGGUUUUUAUUUCUUUUCUUAUUUGGCGUGCAAUACUGCCUGUUGAGUGUUCAAAGGACAGAAGCCUUUAGUCUCUGUCCUUUACAGUACACAGGCAGAGGCAGCGAGAACUGUCAGCGCUGGGACUGGGAGUACCUUUUCAAUGAAUAUGGAGGGAAUGGAUGAUGUUGAGACAUUUGUCAGAGAGAAAAGUUUAAAUACAUGCAUAUUAUCCUAUGUCACAGAAACCUUUAUUAUGAUGGAUUCUUUCUGAACAGCAUACUAUGCAGAUGUUUUAUUCAUGAAUUAUUCUGCAGAAACUCUGUGGGUUCCUAUUUCACUUCCCCUCAGCUGAAUAUGCUAUGAUUUCAUUUUUUUUUUGUUAAAUAGAUCCUUAUAUAGACAACAUUAUUUCUGAGACGUUGAUACGUGCUGUAGGCCUAGAACACAGCUGUUUGUAAAAUAUAAUGAUUGUUGGCGGCAGUUAAAUUCCCACGAGUCGGUACAUAGAUAUCAAAAGCAUUCAUUGACAGUGCAAGAAAAUGCUGUCUUUGACACGUACAGCAAUACCAUGGUCCUGUUAUAGCCCUGAUUUCCUGUGGUGGUAGGGCUGGUGGGACAGUCAUUGGAAAUAAAGGACACUUGAUUGGCAACAGUCAUGAGGGACAGGGGACGGGAGGGAGCAAAUUUAUCUUUGUAACGAUCUUCUAAGCAGAGUGCAUUAAAAGUGAUUAUGUAUAAAAUGGUGGCUCCCAAUGCCGCAUUAGUCCGUCAUUCUUCCUCUUCCAUUCGCCCCGCUUUUCGCAGCAGAUGGACCCUGUUGGCAUUGUUGUCUGUCAGAUAGUAAAUGCAAUGGAACACUAAAAUUUAUGGAAGGGAUUUCACAUUUUUAAGUGCAAAGAUUUGCAGUUGUAGAUUAUUGAAAAUUAUGUUGCGAUGCUGGUAGCACACUUGAGGUACCACAUUUGUGAAUAAAUCCUGGAGUCUUUCAGUUUCCCUGAUUUAAAGUCGUUGCUCUGAACAUUGGCAGAAGCUGUACUUCAUUGCUGAAGUGCACGUCUACGUAAGUAUCUAUGUACGUAUGUGUAUGAGUGUGAAUGUAUAUGUAUGCAUACGUGCAUUAUGUGUGUGUAAAUAUAUGUGCAUGAAUAUGUGUAUAUAUGUAUGUGUAUAAGUACAUGUGUGUAUAAGUAUAUGUACAUGUAUGUAUGUAUAUGUAUGUGUAUUUGUGUAUAUAUGUUUAAGUACAUGUGUGUAUGUAACAUGUGAUUGUGUGUAUGUAUAUAUGUGUAUGUGUAAGUAUAUGUGCAAAUAAAUAUGUGUAUAUAAGUAUAUGUGUAUAUUUAUGUGUGUAUACAUGUGAGAUGUAUGUGUAUGUAUAUGUGCAUGUAUAUGUGUAUAUGUCUGUGCAUUUGUGUAAGGGAAAGCAUCCUGAUGAUCUAACCAAGGCAUCUUUGCUCCCUCCCACUCACUCAUUCACUCUUCCUUGAUUGUUGUUUUGUGUGUAUGUGUGUGCGCGUGCGCACAUGUGCACAUGUAUAACUAUGUAUUCCUAAAUAUAAAUAUAACCAUCUUAGUUUAUGUAAGGUUACAUGUAUGGAUGUCUUCGGGCUGGCCAUUUGGUAUGACUCUUCCUGUGUCUAUAGUUUCCUACUGUAGACGUCAGAGGAAGCUGGAAGGGAGCAGUGCCUGGUUGACCUCGAUUUCAGUUAUGAAGUCUCAAAGGCUCUCUGCAUGUGCACUUGUUCUGCAAGCCAAGGAGGGUAAUCAUCUUUGAGAAGUGCCAUGUGGGAAAUGGAAAAAGAGCUGCACCCGUGCAUACAUAACAGUCCUUUCUGUUAUCUCUGAUCGGGCCAAAUUAUGCACUGUGUUUCCUCCUCCAUGGACUGUUCUCUUCUGCUUGAGUUUGUUCAGUAAGCAACUCUGAAAACCAAUCAGAAAGCUCCAAUGGAUGCAGGCGGCCAUAGUGGUUCCUGUAUGUCAGUGUCAACUCUGCGGCAGCUCUGGGAAAUUGAGCUGGGAUUUUGGUGGUCUUUUAGUUUUACAUUUCCCCUGCUAUUUAUUUUAUUAUUUUAUUUUUCUUUUCUUUUAUGUUGAGAUUAUAGUGAUAGCAUUUCUUCUUUCUCUUCCUCACUCUGAAGUACUCCAUAUGCUCCUUGCUCUCUUUCCAAUUCAUGGUCUCUUUUCCUUGAUUAUUGUUGUGUGUGUGUGUGUGUGUGUGUGUGUGUGUGUGUGUGUGUGUGUUUGUGUGUUGUGUGUGUGUGUUCGUAUAUAAAUGUGCAUUCCUAAAUAUAAAUAUAAACAGCUCGGUUUAUGUAAGGUUACAUGUAUCAAUGUCUUCAGGGUGGCCAUUUGGUAUUGGGUUCUCAAUUGGUUCGCUCUUCUCUUGGGAACGCUACCUCUCCUGAUCCCAGCUUUCCUUAGUUGCCUGUCAUGUAGGAUUGAUUCCUUGGUGUUUUCCCCGGUCCAUGUUAUUAUAUCGAUUGCUGCCAUUCUUGUUCAGCUCAUGGUUGGGCAGCCAUGUUGGUGAGACUAUAUGGGUGGAGUUCUGACAUUACUAGAAGACAGAAUCUUACAGGAAAUUCCCUGACCCUCUGACUUUUACAAUCUUUCCACUCCCUCUUCCACAAUGUCCUGUGAGCUUUAGACGUAUUCUUAAAUUGCCUCUUUCUAGUAAUUUCCCCACAUAUCUUUACCUUUAGUGUGUUAGGCUCUUAGAAAAUUGACCAUUUUCUCCAUUAAUAUGCAUUUAAAAUGUUGACAAUGUGUUUGGUCAUUCCUUUGGGUCACUGUGACCAUUCCUGAUGUAAGUAAGAAGAAGGAAGGAUGGAAUUUGUCUCGUGGUCCGUGCCUGCCUGACACACGUGCUUUGGCAGAAGGUCAUGCUGGUGGCAUGCAGCCUGGCUUCUUUACUGUGUGGAGAGGAGAGGAGAGGGCAGGAAUAGGGACCAGACACAACCUUCACUGGAAUGCGCCUUUAACCUACUUAGCUAGUCAGAGAUUACUUCCCAAAGUUUCAAAAACAUCCUCCAAGUUGAUCCCCAGAAGUCUUGGAGGGACAUUUAAUAUGUCAAUUGUAGCGCUGCCUGAUCCUUGGCACUUGCAAGCUGAGGAAUGGGCAUAAAGCCUGAAUGAAAGGCACGGGCGACGGAACUUCACCGUAGCCAUCUUUCAACGGGCAGGAUUCGAUGCCCCCUUUCUUUCCUUUGUUCUGAUAGAGUCUUCCUUGAUGCAUUCUAAGUCUAUUGUCUUUAUGUUUGGUUUGGUUUUAUUUGAGCACUCCUUGCUGCCGGAAAAUGCUAAAUACACUUUACUAAUAACGUGUGAGUACAGGCAGCCUCAUCUUUUUCUCUGACAGUGCGUCAGCUAGGCUGAGUCACAGCAUCUCUCUCAGGAAGACAGUGAGGAGCGUCCAUCUGUGUGAGAUGCUCUGAGCAGUGCCAUGGGUGGAAGGCCACACACUGCAGCUGAAUUCCUCCCUUGUCCCUUCUCCUCCGGGAGUCUCGGCUUCAUUUUCAAUUAUCAAAAUAUUUUCAUGCAAACAGUACUUUUCUCAUUAGACUUUAGUGAAGAUUAAAGAACUUAGGUGAGGUAGGUGCUUUUCAUGGUGUAUGGCCAAGGACGAACCAUCAGAAGAUGUGUUCCGUGAGAUUGUCUUGGUAGCCUCAUGGUCUUUAUGUUUCUGAACCUCGUUGAGGUGCUUGUCUUGAGUCAACGUUCUGCCUGUGUCUAAAGGUGUUAACACCUCUUUAUUCCAAAUUUAGAUUAUGCAGAGUUGCAGCUGAAGGCAUAGAAAAUUAGUUUCUGAAAUGUUUUACCUUGUUUUCUGUGUACACAUUCCCAAAAAGGAGAGACUGGCAAGUUGCUAUGGAAACUUUCUUUAUGAUGUGAAGACUACUCCCAUCUUUCAUUUAGAAUAACAGUCUUUCUAAAGAAGUCAAAGCUCAUCCUUUCAUGUCUCCUGUCCCCAGCAAGGACAUAGGCUCGUAGCUUGUUUAUUUAUGUUUAGUGGAGCAGGGUCAGUUUGCAGCCUUUAAUGCAGAUCUUUAAUGCAUUGACAGGAAGGUAGGGUUUUUUCCCACUGCUUUUGCUUCUUUGAUAAUGAAUUGGAUGCCUUUCUGUUAUGCAGACAUUUCUGAUCUUUGUCUGUGGUUGUUUUGUAACAUUUCAGCUUGAUUUUAGGUAGUUAAAAAAGAUUUAUUUAAUGCAUCUGAGCAUGCAUGAGGAUGUUGGAUCCUCUGCAACUGGAUUUACAGAUGGCUGUGGAUCACAAUAAGGCGCUGGGACCCAAACCUAGGUCCUCUGCAAGAGCAACGAUGGUCUUAGCUGCUGAGCUGAGCCCUAGGCCUCAGGUUUUAGGUGAAGCAUUAGCAGAUUAGUCAUGCACUCCAUAGUCAUUUAUUCUUCUCAAAACCAAAUCUCAUUCCCCAAAUCUGUUAUUCCUAUAUUUUCCUCUUCCAGCUUAUAAGACUGAUUUGCAGGAAAAUGGAUGCAGCUGGGGGCAACCAUACCAAGUGAGUUAAAACUCUGUCAGAAGAACACAUAUGGUGUCUUUCCUCUCAUUUGUGGGUCCUAGAUUUUGCAUAAAAUCAUAUAAGUCCAGGUGAUGUCAAAGCACAAGGGGAAACCGCCUGGGGGAGGAGGGGCUAACUCAAGGGGGGAGGGGUGAGAAAGGAGAGAGCAGAGGCUUAUAGGAGGGAAUAUUGUCAAGUAAAAUGGCCUAAGCAAUCAAGUAAUAAUGAAAUGAAAUUAAUUAAUCCAUUAAUUAGAUGCGGUAAUUUACAGUCAGUUUUGCUGUCUGGGAUGUUCACUGUUUGGCAGUCCGGGAGGGUUUCAUUAUUUCUCUUCCUUCAUCCCUUGCAUCCUGGGUAAGGAGGAACUGGUUUCACUUCUGCAUAUUGCUAUGGUUCUCCUCACCCUGACCCGGCAUUGGCAUUUGGUUUUUGUUAUGAUAAACCUUUAUCUCCUUCAUUAGGUACCUUCUAAGCUGGAUCUCUGUAAGGUCCGAGAAGGAUGGUUCUACUGGCUGAACACUUUCUUAAUUUAAUUAACUGCUGUCCAGGCGGUUCUCCUGAUUAGGAUCUUUGAAUCUUUUUGCCUACCAAGUGCUACGAGAGUCUAUGAAAACUGGGGUCUGUUCAGCAAGGCUAAGGAAGAAUCUUUAACAUGUUACGCAAUUAAAGUGCAGCCAGUAACUGGUGGUGGCUUUCAGUUGAUUAAAGUGAUUUUUAUGCAGUGCUGCACUCUCUGGUAGGCUGAAGGGGACUACCGGAAGGGAUGGAGAAUUAAGUACUGUAAUUUCAGCCUGUUACAGCAUUUAGGUAAAGGGACUCCACACACAAGUGUAAGUGAAUUUAACAACCACCAUUACUAUUUGGCAGUGCUGGGAUUGAUCCUGGGAUUUUGCUUGUGCUCGGUAAACUAGAUGCCCCUGAGCCACAGUGUCAGCCAAAUUAAGGACCAUGAGCUAAGGACGAGUACUCCACAUUGUUCCAUGAGCCUGAUGUGCCCUUAAAAGCAUCCUUACAAGAGGGACUCGGAGAAAGAUGACACGCAGUGGAGCAAAGAUGACGGGGAGGUUAGAAGCACUCACUGUUAAGCCCAGACGCCAGAGCAGCUCCUAGGAGCAAGAAGCAGCAGCAAAGAGGAGGUCCUGACUAGGGUCCUUCCAGACCCUGCAGGCUGAAUUCUAAAGCCCUAAGGCUCUGGGAGAGUGCGUUUCUGAUUUUAAGACUACCACAUUUAUGGUAAUCUGUUACGUACCAUCAGGAAAACUUUUUUCCUCACUCUGUGCUAGCACUUUUAAAAAUAAAGGAGGAAGGCUGGGGAGAGCUCAGCAGGGAAAGCAUCUACCUCUAAAGAUCUGUAACACCAGAACCCUCUUUAAACACUGAGCAGGGCGGUGGGGCUGAGCAGCAGGUGGGGGCUGGGAGAAUGGAAAGGCAAAUCAUUCAGGAUAAUUGGCUAAUGAAUUGAUGAACUUAAAAAAUAAGUGGUGGGGCUGGAGGGACGGCUCAGCAGGUUAGAGUACUGGCUGUUCUUUCAGUGGACCUUGGUUCAAUUCCCAGCACUGACGUUGGCAGCUCAUAACUACCUGUAACUCCAGCCCCAGGAGAUAUGGCACACAUUUCUUUUGGCACCUGUGGGGCUCCAGAUGUGCACCAGAUGCACAGACACACAUGCAGACGAAACACCCCCACACAUAAAACGUUCAAAAACAAUAAAAGGUGAGAGCUUCUUGAGGGAAGAAAGCUAACAUUUACCUCCCCACCUCCUCUUGGGUGUGUGUACCUAACAAUUUCACAUUGCACUUCAGCCUCUCCAUGCAUGUACACGCAUGAGUGUGCAUCUAGUAAGUGCACACACACACACACACACACAGUUGGGGUGGGGGGGAGCAAGAGAAAGCUAAAAUGAUUGUCGUCAAUGUAGUUGUCAUUGAUUAUAGAAUUAACAACACAGACUUGCCUGCUGCAGAAGUUAGUUGCCUGAGAUAAGCACUAACGGAGGCAUGACGCACCUAUCUUUUAUUAGUCAUGUUUUGAUUCUUGAAAGGUGAACCUGAUUAAGCAAAUGGAUGAAGGGGUUGGGUAGGAGAGCAGCCCUUGCAAGUAGAGCAGACACAGAUGACGGGAUUGGGGAUGACUGAAAGGUGGGCUUACGCUUAGAUUCUCUCUGUGUAAGUCGCACCCAUGUGGGCUCUUGCAGACCACCCCGGCCAUUUCUUCCCAGGGUAUGGUGUGCACAGGGACCUGACAUCUGCUGUGUCUCUGUCGGGAGAGAUCUGGGCACGGGUGGGCGGGGGAAGGCAAAGUGACGUUUCGAUUUCUUCCUUGAAUUCUUUCUUGAUGGCAUAAAGCCAGCUGUGCCCUAAUUUAAUCCUCCCCAGGGUAAGGAGGUUUUUCCCUUAGGAAAAAAAAAAUCUCUGAAAUCAAAUAUCAGAAGAGAAGCAAAAGUCAUACAAGAAAACUAAUAAAAGAAAGGAGAGAGUCUCAGUUCCUGGUAAGGUCCCUGGGAUAUGGUUGGUUGCCUUGAGAAAUGGGGAAUGGAGAUUCCAUCCACAUCCCUCUAGCCCGAAUCAUGAGCCCAUUCAUCUUGUGUGGCUUUUGUAACGGAAGAGCAUAGUUGGUUCUGUUUCUCUGAGCAAGCUGGAGAAUUUUGAUUUACCUUUGUGGGAUGAAUUGCUUUGUGGAAAAGUCCAGCAAUCCCCUCCGAUUAGCACCUAGCAUGAUGGCCUUCGUAGGCGGGAGGCACAGCAGGGCUCUCCACUCCAGAGAGUUCCGGCUACCUCCCCCGCCCCCACCCCCCACUGGUAAUUUGCGGCUAUGUCUCCUCUGUCUUCUUUAAUAUUUAGGUCAGUGAAUUUCAACGUGAAGAUUUGUUGAUUUAAGUGGCUUUGCUUCGGGUAGACUCCGUUUUUGACAGAUUGUACAAUUCACAGACGCUACGUUUUGAGCAGGGGAGAAGUAGUUGUGUUACAAUUCCUUUGAAUGAAGAGAAUUGACUGCAUCUAUCAUGGCUCUAAUAACAGCGAACGCGCUACAUGCGCUCCCACUGAGUUGGAAUCUAAUGCUGUUCAUUUGCUUCUUUCAGUGUUCUGAGGCUCACACGAUUCUCUUGAUUUAUCACUUGGUGUAUGAGCUUUCCUCGGGAUAUUUUUUCUUUUUCAUGUGUAUAUAAAUACAGUGCUGGGUUGGGGUCAGCUUUACUUUACAAGUGGGCAAACAUAUUCAUCUGUCCAGGUUUGACAGUGGCUAGGGCUGAUAGUGGGACGUUAGACCUGGUAGGUAUGAUAUGCUUGAUUGUCUCAGGAUAUCUCUACAGAUGGGAAUGUAGGCCAGGCUAGCUUCAAACUCCCUGUGUAAGGAAGGAUGAUCUUAUAUUAAGAUUUAUUCUUACUGGAGUGCAUGUGUGUGCAUGCCACAUGUGUGGGGGUACCUCUACAGGGCUCAGAAGAAGGCAACAGUUCCCUCAGAAGUAUUGUUUUUCUCCAUCUUUAUUAACUUGGGUAUUUCUCUAUUUACAUUUCAAUUAUUAUUCCCUUUCCUGGUUUCCAGACCAACAUCCCCCUAAGCCCUCCCCCUUCCCUAUGGGUGUUCCCCUCCACCUCCUCCCCCCAUUACCGCCCUCCCCCCAACAAUCAUGUUCACUGGGGGUUCAGUCUUGGCAGGACCAAGGGCUUCCCCUUCCAUUGGUGCUCUUACUAGGAUAUUCAUUGCUACCUAUGAGGUUGGAGCCCAGGGUCAGUCCAUGUAUAGUCUUUAGGUAGUGGCUUAGUCCCUGGAAGCUCUGGUUGCUUGGCAUUGUUGUACAUAUGGGGUCUCGAGCCCCUUCAAGCUCUUCCAGUUCUUUCUCUGAUUCCUUCAACGGGGGUCCUAUUCUCAGUUCAGUGGUUUGCUGCUGGCAUUCGCCUCUGUAUUUGCUGUAUUCUGGCUGUGUCUCUCAGGAGCGAUCUACAUCCGGCUCUCUUUCAGGCCUUUCUAAGCAACCCAACGUGUGUGCUGGGAUCAGAACGUGGGUCCUGGUAAAGGGGAAGCACUCUUGCCUGCUGAGCUACCUCUCUAGUAGAGGAUGGUAUUGAACAUCUAUCCCUCUUGCUUCCACUUCUCAGACACUGGGAUUGAGAGUGUACAUCACACACCCGGGUUACAUGAUGCUGGGGAUCCAGCUUAGGGCUUCUGCACGCUUGGCGAUCACUCAACCAAGUGAAGCCAGCGUCCUGUAUUUCACCUGGCAUCUCUGCCAUAAAGAGUAGAAGUCAGACUUCCCAUAGUCCUGGACCCACAGUCACUACACACUGAUGCCAGGUUGCCUGAGCCUGUGCAUCUGUAAAAUGCUUCCUGGCUAAUCUUACUUCCUUCUCUCUCCACUUCCUUAUCCCACCUCUCUUCUACUGGACUUUUUGCAGUGACUUCUCAUUACCUCUACAUUUUACUCAGCUCAGCUCUUUGCCUUCAAAAAAACCAAUUCUUCACUAGUGCUUCCCACAUAAAUUAUUCUGAGAGCUUGAGAACUAUCUGCAUUCUCUUCCGCAGGCUCCAGGAGUGGACAGGACUGGGACAUCAAUAUGCAUGAACAGUCACCAGAAAGGAGGUGACAAUAAAUACAAGGCCAUGUCUCUUGCGAGACUCACAGGCCAGCAGCGGAAAGUCUGCAUAACUGUAAUCUUUUGUAGCCUUUUAAUUUAUGUUCCAAUUAAUUCCCUACACUGGACAAUCAGACUAUUACCUGAAAUCACUCUCUGCUCCGUCUCUGGAGCUCCUGACCAUGGCAUACUCGCAUUCUAGAACCUGAGGCGGAACAGCUGCCGAGACACAGCGUGCAUGUGUUUUCUAAAGAACCCCAACUACAGCACAUAGUCUUAUCUGCACCCCACUAUAUUCCCUUUCCUAAUGUUCUUAAGUGGGUCCUUUCUUCUUGAGACUUUUAUACAAGUGUACAGUAUGUUUUGAUCAAAACCAACGCCCCAGUUCUGAUCCCCAGCCUCUACCCUUCAGUCCCUACCAUCUCUACUUUUCUAUCGACUCCCUCCCCAACGACAUCCCCCUCAUUAUUAUAUGUAUUUUACUAUUGAAAACCAGACUUCAGUUGUUGCAGCCAGUAUCUACCUGGGUAUAGAGCCAUCUCCUCGAGCAUAGGGGCUGUAUCCCACCUGGGGCUGUAUCCAUGAAGAAAAUGUCCCUCCCUAACAACCUUUAACAAUCAAUAGCUCCUCAGCACAGGGUGGGGUUUCCUGAGCCCUUCUCCAACCAGCGUCAGUUGGAAUUUUAACUGACCAGGUCUUAUGUAGGUCUACGCAUUAAGCUAAGGCCUGUAUGAACUCAUGCAUAUGCAAUGGACCUUUCAUUUUCUGAAAAUAUUAUUUUAAAGCAUUUCUACCAACCUCUGGCUCUGAUAAUCUUUCUUCCUCCCCCUCCAUGAUAAUCCCUCAGUUUUGGGGAGAGGGGUGAUGUGGAGAUUUCAUUAAAAGGGGUGAACAUUUCAAGUUAUAUCUUUCCUUUGCUUCUUGGUAGCUUGGUGAGAAUCUUCAUUGAAUAAACAAACCAAAAGUUUGAAACCGGUUAUAUGGAGAAGCAGUAUCAAGUACUGGCUACAAGCCACUUGGGUCCCUCCCGGCCAUACCUCUAUCCCCUGGUCACAUGCCCUUGGGGAAGACAUAUAACUUCUUUUCUGGAAAUGCCUUUGAAAAUUGAGCAAGGGAAUCCAAAAUUUGGAUUUUUGACAGAUGAACUAUUAUCCUCUUAUCCUCAUUACUGAUGUUGUUCGUAGCAUUUAGGAGGUGUGGCGUGCACAGGUGGACAAGAUCUGCACUGUUUUGGGUCUGUUUUCUUCUCCUGUUCUAAGUGUUAUGAAGAGGGACCCCAAUGUGAUACAGACUGUGGUGGUGUGAACCGGGGACCCUUUGGGUGGGUCUCAGCAAACAGUUCCUUGAUGAUCAGAAGCCCGAAAUGAGAGUCAUGGAAAGGGGUCAUAGCUUAAGAAAAUGAAAUAGCCACACCUCUUGGUAAAACUGAAUUGCAGCGUGUUUUGAUGUCUGGGGACUUGACCCAGCAAAGAGGGACAUGCUUAUGCUAGACAGAGGAGCUAACGUGAUCAGCAGGGACUCUGACAUGAAGGAGCUAACCUUUAUUAGAAUGCGACACCUUUCAUUUCUAAGGAAGGAAGGCGAUACCACCAGGCUAGUGGCAAUGGGCUCUGAGCGCACUGUCUUAUUUUUUUCUUUGAAGAAUAAGGUAAUGUCUAUCAAGAUUAGGAAGGGGGAUGGCUGGGGGCUGGGGGAUGCUAGCUUGAACGUUUGUAGAGGGAAAUGACUGUGUGAAAUUAGCUUGUCAGGGCUCAGCAGUGGGAUCCCAGGCAAUCAGUAGUGCCUAUUUGGGAUUUGCAGUCAUGAAUUGAGAAUGAGACCAGCCAACCAAGUUUCAUGUCUAAAAUAGCAGUUUCCCUGGAAAGGUACACUGGUGGUUUAUUUCCUGAGGCAUAUAUGUAACUGAAAUAUACUCUAACUUUCAAGGCAGAAAUUCCAAGUUGCCUCUGUAUUUACCUAGUUAAGAAUUCUUGGGCCGGUUGUGGUGGCGCACACCGGUAGCAUUUGCUGAAGAAUUCUUGGGCUGGAGAGAUGGAUCAGCAGUUAAGAGCACUGACUGCUCUUCCAGAGGUCCUGAGUUCAAUUCCCAGCAACCACAUGGUGGCUUACAACCAUCUGUGAUGGGAUCUGAUGCCUUCUUCUGGUGUGUCUGAAGACAGCUACAGUGUACAUAAAAUAAAUAAGUAAAUCUUAAAAAAAAAAGAAUUCUUAUUAAGCUGUCUGUGCUGGUGUAGACCUGUAAAUGUGUGUGAUCUGAGCUCUUGGGAAGCUCAGGCAGGAUCAUGAAUGUCUCAAAAAGCCAAAACAAACCAUCCUUCCCACUGAUUAACAGUAACCCCCAAGCCCCAAAACAAAUUAUUCCAAGUAAAGUCUUUACUCUUUAGCCUUUUCAGCAGAACCAUCCAGAGGAAUCCAAAGGUUCUAUAUACCUCCAGCACAGAAGGCAGUGGCUACUUAGGUUUUUGAUCUCUUGAACUGUAGCUAGUGCCUCAUUGCUUAGUGCCUCUGAGAAACUGAAAGCUUCCUUUGACUCACUUUUCUUUGUUUAAAGGACGCAUGUGGCUGAUAGCUAUGGCUUUGUACACCACAGUUGUAGUCACUGCCUCGCUGCCGUGUGGCAUUUGUGACAGCAGAGAAGAAUCCAAACCUAACUCUUUUGUUUUUAGAAAUAUGAAAUUUACAAAUUGGGGAAAUGGCUUUGGCAUUUGGUUUUUAAACAGACUUGUUCACCGCUUGGCAGUCUCCAGACUUUUCUCAGGUUUUGGGAGGUUUCUACUAGUAUAGCUCUCUUUUGGAAAUUCCGUGAGUGACAAAAGCAAGCAUUGAGAAGCCAUGCCAUGGAUUUGUAGCUCCAUCCGGGAGACCCCCAAUUGCAUGGUCUUUGGAAAAUACCUACAUAUCUUGCAGAAAUAUUUACUCUGAGGUUACAGUGUGAGGUGCAUGGCUACCGUUCUUUCCCUCCUGUGCUUGAUUUAUUUGCCUCAGAUUCUUCUGUGCGGAUGGCUGUUAAUCUAGGCACGACCACCCAUCAGUAUCCCAACAACAAACAGGCUUGUUCAGGCUUAGCCUUGUCGGGUUUUUCUUUCUGCUCAGGAGAGCACCUUUUCACAUUGGUUCUUCAUCCUUACUUUGUCUCUGUGGUGAAACAAUGUUUCAUGUUGGUCUGUCUGCUGGAGUUCCCUUUCUCUCCCGCCUUGGCAUUUUACUGUAUAGGCUCUUUCUCUUCUGGGUCCUCUCUUUUGGUGGACACAAUAUGGUCCUUAAUCUUGGCAGUUGCAGCAAAGAUCCAGAUGUCGCAAUAGCUCAUGGCCUGUUAUCAAACAAUUCAAGGAGAGGAUUGGUUUUGAACUCUAGGGAAAUGUCUCUCUGUGCUCCAGCUUUGCUUGAGAAUUCAUUUUUGAAAUUCUUCUCUAUGGGCAGUUCCCUAGGUUCAGUGCUGAAUGUUAAGAGGUCAUUGUUUUCUGUGACUGUUGUUCUGUCCAGGGAUUUCCAGGUGCCUCAUCUUAGGCCUUCUGUGUGAAGUGGGGAAGCAUUGUCACAGUUCCUUAGAUGUGACAGGCUAGUGCUACACCCACCUUCCUCCUGCCACAGGAGACAUCAGUGGAUCCUGCUGGUGAGGUAGGAAAGCUUUAUCUCAGGUUUGGAAUGGGAUGUCAGGGUUUGGGAGGCAAGAGACUCUUGUGGGUAAAGUUUCUCUUCUGUUCUUAAAUGCUGUCAGUAAAAUGGAGACAAUGUGUGGGGCUGUUAUUUGGUGAAAACUUGCUGUCCCUUUGCUAUCUUUUCGAAUGAGUCAGUCUCUACCUGCUGGACACUAGUUCCUGUUCUCUCUCUACUCUCUGUUGUCAGGGAGGAGGGGGUGCUGAGUGGCUUGGCGCUUGUAUUUGUUUCUGUAACAGUGGAAGUACAGGUGAGGUGAAGGCAGUGCUGAAGGAGGGGUGACUGUCAGAGUUUCCUGUCAGAUUCCAAGGCUUCGCAUGCCCUUUGUUGGUUUUCUUCUUUAAAAUGUUUGUUUCUUUGAUCCACAUUUCUAACAACUUUAUUGAACCCUUAUAGCCUUCACUUCCUUUAUGUGGAAUCUGUCACUUAAGUAUACUCAUUCAAAAUGUUCUAUGCAGUGACGUUUUGUAUAUUGCAGAAUUCUGAACUGAUCAGCCCAACUCAUUUUUGAAGAACAUUCCUGUUGUUGCACCGAUAGAAAUAUCAAUAAAACCCCCAAACAUAUGUUAGUCUUGGAAACUGCUAAUCAACUAUAUUUAUAGCUUUGCCUGGUAGAUCCAUUUUACAUACAUGCAUCUGACUGAUAUGUUGUUAUUUGUGACUUGAAUUUUUUCACUCAGCAUGUUUUUGAGGUUUAUUUACAUCCUUAGAAACCUGUCAUUUUUUUCUCCAUCUUUAUUAAAUUGGGUAUUUCUUAUUUACAUUUCAAUUGUUAUUCCCUUUGCUGGUUUCCAGGCCAAUAUCCCCCUAACCCUUCCCCUUCCCGCUCUAUAUGGGUGUUCCCCUCCCCAUCCUCCCCCCAUUGCCGCCCUCCCCCCAACAAUCCCGUUCACUGGGAGUUCAGUCUUAGCAGGACCCAGGGCUUCCCCUUCCACUGGUGCUCUUACUAGGAUAUUCAUUGCUACCUAUGGGGUCAGAGUCCAGGGUCAGUCCAUGUAUAGUCUUUAGGUAGUGGCUUAGUCCCUGGAAGCUCUGGUUGCUUGACAUUGUUGUAUAUAUGGGGUCUCGAGCCCCUUCAAGCUCUUCCAGUUCUUUCUCUGAUUCCUUCAACGGGGGUCCUAUUCUCAGCUCUGAAUGGGUGUUCCUUUAGUCUCUGUUCUAAACUUUGCCUUCCUAUCCCCUCCCAAGGGUAUUCUUGUUCCCCUUUCAGAGAAGGAGUGAAGCAUCUGCAUUUUGUUCUUCCUUCUUGAGGUUCAUGUGUUCUGUGCAUCUAGGGUAAUUCAAGCAUUUGGGCUAAUAGCCACUUAUCAAUGAGUGCAUACCAUGUGUGUUUUUCUGUGAUUGGGUUAGCUCACUCAGGAUGAUAUUUUCCAGUUCCAUCCAUUUGCCUAUGAAUUUCAUAAAGUCAUUGUUUUUGAUAGCUGAGUAAUAUUCCAUUGUGUAGAUGUACCACAUUUUCUGUAUCCAUUCCUCUGUUGAAAGGCAUCUGGAAACCUGUCAUUUUUAUUGGCAAACCUAUUCCACGAUGUGGUUAUGCCACACCAUAUAAUUCAUCGUUCAGUUGAUGGACACUUGGGUUGCUUCCAUGUUUUGCCAUAAUGAACAAUGCCACGUUGGGCGUUUAUGGGUUCUCUGCUUAGACAUGGGUUCAUGUCUCUUGGAUGCCACUUAAGAGUGGAAUUGCUAGAUCACGUAGUAAGUCUGUGGUUAAUGAUUUGAGCAAGUGCCGAAGUGUUUCACAAAGCCACCAGUUCUGUCUUCUGUGCUCACGUUUCUGUAGAUCUAGCACAUCUAACGCACCUUCGCCCUCCGUUGUUUCUGUAGAGAGCAGUUACUGCCUCAUAGCUGCUGUGAUAUCCAUCGCCUGGACAGCCAAUGAUGCUGAGCAUCCCUUUGCGGCUCACUGAGUGUUGCUGAAUUUUCCGUGGGAGAACUCCUCUUCAGUUCAUUCGCUAUAUCAAAUCUCACUUACUGUUCUAUCGUUGAGUUACGGUGGUACUUCAUAUAAACACAAGUCCCCAGUACAGAAAGUGUCUACUGUGUAGGUGAUGUUUUCAAUUGCCUGGUAGGCUAGGCUUUUAUUUCUGGAAUAUCUACUCUGUCUACUCCAUACGCUUGAGCCAGAACCAUAUUGACUCGAUUAUUAUAACUGUGUCUUUAAUUUUGAGAUAAAAGUUGUAUUUUUCUAAACUUGUUCAGAUACUUUUUUUUAAAAAUGACCAUUCUGAGUUCAUCGAAUUUUGGAGUGAAUUUUAAGAACGGCUUAAAGCAGAACUGAGGUUUCGAUGGAGGGCGUGUUGAUUUUGGAAUUGUUGCGGUUGUGAUGAUUUCAGAUUGUCUGACCUAUGAACAUGGUACGCCUUUCCACUUACGUAGGUCUUCUUUCAGUGAAGUAAGGUUUUGUGGUACUCAACUAUCAGUUCUGUGUAUCUUUUACUAAAAUUAUUUCUCUAUAAUUUUCCCUUUUCAAAGAUAUUAUAGAUUGAAUUAUAUUUAAUAAAAAUAUAGACAUAAAUUGAUUUCCGGAUAUUUAUCUUGCACAUUGUCACUUGGUUGAGCACACUCAUUUAUUUGAAUGUUUUUUAAAACCCAGAUUUCAGGGUUUUUCACAUCCAAGACUGUUUCAUCUGUAAAUAUGGUGCUUUAACUUUCCCAAUAUAGGUGCCUUUUACUUCUCUCUGCUGCUCAUUCUGGUUAAACCCUGGUUUACAGGGUGGAUGGAAUGGGUGAGAGUGGACGCUAUUGUCUUUCCUGUUCCCCAUCCUUCAGAGAAAGAAUGCAAGUUUCACCAUUAUGUGGUUUUCCUUAGAUUCGCUGCUUCCUUUCCUUUCUUUGUUUUCUUUCUUCUUUCUUUUUCUUUUUGGUUGAGAAUUUGAUAAAAUGCAAAGGAUGUUUCCUGCUGUGACAUGGCUUUCUGUUUCUAUUGAGGUCAUUUUGUGACUUAGUCCGUUGUUCUGUUGAUAUGGUAUGUUCGAUUCACUGACUUUCAAAUACUGAAUGGACCUUGCAUUCUGGGGACAAAUCCCAUUUUACUGUUCUAUAUAAUCUUUUAAGAAGUAUGCUUUUAGAACAUGUUUGUCAGUGUUCCGUUGAAGGUUUUUGCUUGUGUAUUCUUAAGAGACUUCGGUCUAUAGAGUCGUUUACAUUUCUGACUUUACUUGUGUGCUUCUCAUAUUAUCUCCAUCCUGGCCUCAGAGAAUGAGCUUCUAAUUACUCCUUUGAGUAAUUUUUACAAUGCAUUUGCACUAACUUUCUCUAAUGUUACUAAUCCAAUUUCCCAGUUUGGGGUUCCAUCCAGGUUUCCUACUCCUUGUUGGACUGAUUUUGAUGUUUGCAUCUGUACCUGUUACUUAUUGUCAGCUCCACACAAGCUAGAGUCACCUCGGGAUUGAGGAAUUGAAAAGGGGCGGUAGAUUCAUUGACUUUCAGAUACUGAGUAAACCUUGCAUUCCUGGGAUAAAUCCCAUUUCAUUGUUAUAUAAUCUUUACAACACGUGCUUUUAGAGCGUGUUUGUUGGUUGAGGCGUUGCUCCCUUCACAUGGGAUGUGUCAGUGGGUUCACUUUCUGGAUUAAUGAUCCAUGUGGGGCAGCCAAGCCCACAGUUGGCUGUGUAAGCCCUGAGCUGUAUAAGAAACCAGGCUCAUCAAGCCAUGGGGUCAAACUAUAGAGUUCCUUUAUAAUCUUUCUAAUUUGUAUCCAGCUGAGCAGUAUCUCCUCAUUCAGUGUUGAGUUUAGUAACUUGAAUCCUCUUUUAUGUACCCUGUUGGUCAACCAUUAAAAAUAUAUACAUUUUGUAGACAUUUUCAAAGAUCUAAUUUUCUUGUUGAUUUUUUUCUUCUCUUUUCUUUCUGUUCGAAUACUUAGCAUUUCCCUUCUGUUUGCUUCAGAUUUGCUUUUCUUUUCCUUUCUCAGUGACUUUUACCCCAGUGUUUCCUUGAGAUAGACAUGUCUAGCUAGAGACUUCCCUAUAAGUACUACUUUUGCUGCAUCUCAUUAGAUUGUCUAUAUUAUUUAAUUUUCAUGCAUUUUAAUAAUUACUAGUAUUCUUGUGAUUCCUUUAUUCCUUUAUUUUUGUCCUUUUGUUAUUCUAUUAUUCAUUAUUUAUAGAUUCUAUUAUAUAUAACAAUAUUAUUAUAACAACACAUUAUAAUAUCAUUAUAUAUUAAUAGCAUAUAUGUAUUAUAUUGUAUUAAUAUAUAUGAUUAUGCAUUAAUAUAUAGUAUAAUGAUAUAUAUUAUUUUAAAAGAUAUUCAUUAUUAUCUUUACUCCAUUUUCAUUUGGAAAUGUAUUCUUUACAUUUCUGUGCAACUGUGAAGUUUUUAGAUUUCUUUCUGCUACUGAUUUCGAAUUUGAUUUCAUUCUUCUUCUAAAGCAGACUUUGUACCCCACCAGUGCCUUCAGACACAUACUUAGGCUUGUUUGAUGGCUUACUGCGGGGUCUACUCAAGGAAAGAUCCGUGCUCUCUUGAGAAAGAUGUCCUCUGCUUACAGUGUGCUGGAGAGCUCUCUAUGUUAGACUUUGGUUUAUAACAAAUGUCUAGUCUUAAAUUUUUGUUGACUAAGAAGAGAUUUACCAAGAUGUUUAGUCUGUCCUUGGCGUUUUCAGAGCUGUAAAGGAGCCCACUGCCGGCUUCAUUGUGCUCAGAAUAGCUGCUCAUCCAAACGCAAAGGAAUUACUUUAUAUGAAAAACAAAGCAAGAACCUGGGGAGAUGGCUCAGUAGAUAAAGAACAUACUAUGUAAUUGUCAGGGCUAGAGUUUGAACUCCCAGACCUCAGUAAAAGCCUGGCGGGUAUGGCCUGCAUUUCUAGCCCUUGGGGGAAGGGCUCCAGGGGUAAGCUGGAGACCCAGAUUAGUCAAAUUGCUGACCUCCAGGCUCAGCGAGAAAUUCUGUCUUAAUAAAUCACUGGUGAAUGUUUGAGGAAGACAUAGGCUGUCAAGUUGAAGCAGGCAUGCACACACAUGUGCACAUGCACAGAAAUGUACAUGCAUAACACAUAUGUAUAUGUACAGAAAGCAAAAGAUUGAAAAAUUUUAACAAGUCUUGAUAUUAUUGUCCUAGAAUAUGGGCCUCACAAGUCUAGUCUAAGGUGUGGGUGUCAAACACAACCUGACUACUCGUAUUCUUAUAUUGAAUUGUCUUAAACCCAAUAGCAUUAUUGGUUCCCAGGGACCCAUAGAGCAUGUUCACAGAUUCAGAAGAAAUCCACAGAUUCCAACGAAUGUGAAUCCCUGGUUGACCACUUUAGCUCUGGUUGUCCUUCAGGAGGAUAGAGUUUAAGAUCCAGUGCAUGCAGACUAUGGCCAUAUCGUCACACAUGUAAAUGGAAGACAGAAGCAUUUUGACAGUUUCUUGAAAUUUCUGCCCUUUAAAGUCGGUUUUGGGUGGUGCAUGGAUAGAUCCUGUUUUGUCAAAGCAUGCUCUCUUUCGCGAAAUUGCUGUAAUUGAGGCCAACAUCUCCCAUUAGUGUUGUAAACCGGGAUUCAAGUUGAGAUAGUCUCUGGUUCAGUGCACCCUGGAGAACUCAAGAAUUGUUCUGUUUGACAGAUAAUAAGGCUCCCAUUGACAAGGUUACUAUUGACUAAAAUAUGCUUAUAUCACGAAGUCUAUUUUGGAGUGGGUUGAAUUUUUCCGUAUUGUAUUAGGUCACCAUUAAAGAUCUAUCAGACUUUAUUCCAACAAUGUUAAUAAUAAACCAUUUAGCUUUCACAAUGUGAAUUUGUGAACGUUCUUCCCAUUGUUGAAAAAAUCGGUUUGUUUCACUUAUUUUCCUGCGCCCUUUUGCCUAGAAAUGAUGACUACUUGGCGACAUAACUUUGUAAAUAAACUUUUUUAUGAAACGUUUUUAUUUUACUUUUAAUCUUCAAACUAUUAUAUAUGACCUCUUGAUUGUAUAAGCACUCAGCUGUGUGGGAGAAAUAUUUCUUCCAUCCCCACCCUGUGUGACAAUGCGUUCUUUCUCAUUUUGCAAAGAAGUCGCGUCUCUAAUUGUCACUAAUGGAUCAUUUCCAUUAGAGACUUUUUGUCCAGGCCACCUAACUGAUGUUAAAAUCUGAUUACCCAUUAGGAUAGUUUGUCUUUUAGGGAUCCUGUGUCAAGGGCUGUUUGAUGUCAUCUGUAGACACGUGUGUAGUAGAAAAGGCAGAUGUAGUGAUUUUCUCUCUCUGCCUGCUCCCAUCAGUGGGUGAUCUUGAUUGAACAAGCACGCAGUUUCCCUGAGUUCUGGUAGGUAUCAUACAGAGGAGGAGCAGCGCAUCCAUGUGCAGUUAGUCAUGUGUGUUAAAGAUCUACAUGGCUGUAAAGCACCUAGUAAGUGCCUGGUCCACAGAGCACUUCUUAGUAGCUUUAAAUUCUCUUUCCAUUCCUCUCUUUUGAAGCAGCGAAUGAGCUCAGUUUCUUUCUUUUCCUUUAUUAGGGCUGGUAAUGGAACAUUCUGCCCAGCUACAUGCUCAGCUUUGAGAUGAUUUUAUUUUCACAUUAGUUUUAUAUGAAUUACAUCUGUGCUCUUCAAACCUGACCUAGGCCUCCAAGGGAGUCAGUACUCCCCCACCCCCACCUGCCGCCGAACAAUUUUGACUCCUUCACGAGCUAGAACAACAUUAACAAAAAUUCCCAAUUUCCCUAAGUUUAUGACUGUUAAACAUUUUAGGCAGUUAUUACAUUUAUCCUUGUUCUGACCUUGCCUUUUAAAGAGUUAUAUUUAAUAUAUUGCUAGUCAAGAAUAGAAAGAAAUGGUUUCAGGGGAUCCUUAAACUAGCCUUAUAAUUUAUCGGCAUCCGGUGCAACCUUACAAAUAAAUACAACGAUGCAAAUGCGCUUUGUUUUCCCCUUAGAUUUUACGUUUGCUUUUAAAUCUCUUACGCCUUUCGCACCCCCCCCCCCCCCCCCGCCUCUGUCUCUGAUGCAGUCAAUAGAGCUGAUCACUCUCAUUCCUUCAGUUCUUACUUAGAUUCCAUUAGCGGUCUGGGUGCUGCCGGCCUGAUCCUGUUUGAGCCAGGGAUUCCACUUCCCACCAGCAACUAAUAUCAUCCAUUAGUUUCUCCCUUACAGAGUGACAGUGUUUACUGGGCUUCCAAAGCCGGUUUUGGAAUUUAACUUUGGAAUGCUGUAAACUAAUACUAAUCUGACCAUAUUUGGCUUUAAAAAUAGCCUCUAAGAAGGAGAUAAAGGUUUUCUGUUUAGUGAUGAUUAAGUGCCUAUUUGGAUGUGUUCAUCUGAGGAACUGAAGAUAAUUUUGUCAUCAGGCUACUUGUAUAAGGGCACAAACAGAUGGGUCUUGCUCCAGACCCUGGAGGCAAACGGAGCAGAUGCCCCUUUGAUUGCCCGGGGAAGACGUGCACAGGCGUGUCUCCGAAGGACACUCUGUCACUGUGACAACCUUCAGGUUUGAGGCUUCUGAGACCUUGUUGCAUUCAUUCAGCAAAAUCUUCCUGGACUGUACUGCAGUUAGGCUCUCUACCAAGAACCAAGGAGAAUUUCCGGUAAAUGCACGCACUAACCCUGAAGUCGUCACAGAUUUACACAGAGCAUCAGAUUCACUCAGAAACCAAAAUGUUAGGAUGCUGCUGGGAGACUGCUCAUGCCCUCUGGUAGUGACAGUUCGGAAGCAAAAAGUUGGUGAUUCCUCCUAUCUUCUAUGGUUUUAUAAUCUUGUAAUCUGCUUAUGGGACAAAUAAUGCCUUCCUUAAGGAUUGGUUGUCAGGAUGGCACUUUGAGCUGGUCCAUAGCCAGCGUGUAUACAUGGUGGUGAGGAUGACAUUCUGUUUGUAGGAAGAUAUGUAGUAGUUAUGAUCACCAUUUGCUCCUUUAUAUUAAGCUCACAAAGUCAACCAUGUUAGCCACUCUUAUGAACACCGCACCUCCCAUGGCAAGGCGAGCAAGUCAGCCUUUCCUUCUCCAGAGUCUGUGAAGAGGAAGUUAGCUUCUCAUCUGACGAUCUCUUGAGUAAUUGGAUAAAUCAACAAAUCAUAUUCUAUCCACCGAAAAUCUAAAAUUGGACCGAUAAUCUAAAAUUUAGAUCAUUGGACCAAUAAUCUAAAGUUCCCAAAACCUUGAUCAAAACUCAAACAGAUAAUAUUCUAAAAUACAGAUUCGGAAACAUGAGAGAAGUGACCCAGCGCUUUGUAUGUAGCGAGUGCUUGCAAAUAUUUCCUUAUUUAUUGGUUGAAGAAGUAAGCAACACAUUUUAGAUUAUGAGGAAAAUUGCCUUUCUACAUUACUUUGCACCAUUGAGAAGGAUUAUUGUUUGGAGUUUUUCCCCUAAUUACUUAUUGAUUUGAAGAAUUUGUGAUUGGAAGAGGCUGGUAGAUUUUUCUACUCCUCACCUCUAGUUUUAUAAGUGAGGAGACAGAAAUGGGGUGAAAUGACUGGACCAAAGAAAGCAAGUUAAUGAGUGAGGUGAGGCUAGAACUUAGGCUAGGCUGGUGACAGCAUAGAGGACAUUUAUCCCUUGGCUUUCCCAAGGCAUGUCCAUCAGUGCUAGUGAGUAGAUAUUCAAAACAAGAUGGUGGGUGGGACUUGCAGGGAGAAGGGGAGUUUCCAAGAAAUAUUUUCUCAAAGGAAACAGACAAAUGACGUCAUCUGAGGACAGGCAUCAUCCAUGUUGCUCUUCAGCAGGCUGAUGAGGCUGACAGGGAAAUAGCUCUAUUUGUAGGCUAUGACUCCAAGACGUAGGAUGCUGUUAAUGAGGGAUCAGUCCCACAAGCUGUUAAAUAGUCCAGGCUGAAGGUAAUGCCCAUUUCCAUAAGGGGAGGGACUGCACAGGUGUGUGAUCGUGUAGAUGUGAGUAGAUGUCUUUCAGGUAGCUCUAUCUGUGUUUGUUCCUUCACAUGUGUGAUGGAGACCCAGCCCUGCACUCGAGCCUGCAUGUGGGACAGGCGGUUGGUGUUCUACUGUGGCUGAGACUUGGAGACAGGAGAAAGAGUACCUUGGCAAGUAGAUGAUGGUGUGGAGAAGAGCCUACCUGAAGAGGGAGGGAAGCUGGGCCUUUAAGGUUUCAUGUCAUUGUGUCUUGAAGAUCGUUCCCAUUUACCGUGGUCACUCAGCUCCACUCAGUGAUUAUUAACUGAGUAGCUCACAGACACAAACUGUUCUGUGUUAGAGCUACUGGAACUUGUCUGUGCGGCGCCUCCGUUCUUCUGGGGGAGGAAUUAAAUUACCACUCUCUUCUUCUCACCUGUUCCUUUGAUCUACUGAUUUCCUCAUUCUUACUUCCCACUCUCAUCUAGAAAUACCCAGGAACUCAACUCCAUUAUUACCUGUUUCACCUUCUCUGACCUAUGUUAAGUUCCUUUGGUAAGCCAACAUGGCCACGAUCAGCCCAUUGAGGUCUUUAUCUGCCCAGCAGACACUGCGUGGCUGAAGCUCUGUGUAGUCUUCUUGCCUCUACGUGGCCUUUCAUGGAGUUCCCCUUUGUAAGUUUGAAUGCCUUCAGAUAAUUUUCACACAAGAUUUUUGCCAGAUCCACCAUAACAAUUGCUGGGACUUUGGGUGUCAAUUAAGAGCAUAGAAGCCAAGAUUUGGGUUUGGGUUAAGUAACCUCUUAAGAUCGGGUCAGGUAGGGAAAGGGCAUUGCAGCUGAGAGUAGGGUUUUCAGGUGAGGCUGAUGAAGGUUGAACAGAGCAUGCAGCCCAUUUGUAAGGAUCACCCUGGAUUGUAGACACGGGGAUGGGGGAUGCCAAGUGCUUGCCAUCAGAAGGAAAUCAAUGGCUGUUGCUGACUAUUGACUGGAUGCACAGGAAUUACUGUGAUGGAGUUGUUUUCUAGGGUCCCCAGCAAAGGAUGUACAAAUGACGUGCCAUCUUGGUGAAGUGAAAUAAGAUUUUGAUUUACAGUGCUUUUUCAGAGUGAGAUGAAAUGUCUCAGAGGUAGUAGGUGUUGCCGAAAAUGACAUUUUAUCUUUGAAGGCCUGGAUGGCUGUGCUCACUUUUCCCCUUUAACUCGAUGAUGGAGAAAUCUAAUCUUUAACAGUAUCAGCUCGUAUUUCCCUAACUGUUCCUAUUAGAAAGGUGAUUUGGCCUCAUUACAUUCCUCGGAGGAGGUUGACAUUGAAUCAUAUACAAUGACAUUAUAAAUCAGAAUGUCUUUGAAUCCUAUCAUAGAAGACAUUUAUGUAGUACAUAUUUUGUUCUUAAAAUAACCCAUAAGAUAGUUAAUUAUAAGCAGGAUAUUGUUGACAUUAUCUAAUUUUAUUAUUUGUAAUGUUGGAUCCACUAUUCUUAGACGUUGGAAUGCUCUCAUGGUCUCACUGUGAUGUCAUAUUUUCCAGACUGCUUCAGUCGAUUGCAUAUGAUAACACACUCUCUUUAUAAUAUAGCACAGACAUCCUUUUCCUCAAGGAUGUAUUUGAUGUCUUUCCCCUUUGAAUCUGAGUUGUCUGACCAAGAGUUGAAAGCGAUAGGUUUUAGUUCGGAAGCCAUUCACAUAAUUAUCAUGUCCUUCCUUUUCCUCAUUCUCCUGGGGCGUUUGCCCUUGGAAGCCAUCUGGCUAGCUAUGAGUAAGUGUGUAGGUAGACUGCCUUGCUGCCCAAACAAGGUCCUACCUGAGAGCUAGCGUCAACUCCUGAGAUGCUGAGAUCCAUCAAGGCUAUCAAGCCUUCAGGCCCUGAGUCAGCCCACCCUCAGCUUCUCAGCCAUUUGAGCUGAUAUUAUGUGAGCCAGAGAGCAAUUCUGUUAGGAUUGAGGGGUCCUGGGAUGAGCAAUUGUUGCUUUUAAGUCUUUGAAUUUGGGGUUAUUUAUUUCAUAGCAGAAGACAAGGAGAGGAAGUUGCUAGCAUGAUUUUGACAUUAAUCUGCUUAUGAAUCAUGUUUUAAAGAGGAGCUACAUAUUCCGUUUGUCCACACUAAAGAAUGAGAUCUUGACUGAGUAGCACAACUAACUAAAGACCAGGAGUCCCACUUGUUGGAUGCUAGUUUCUAACUGAACGUUUAGUCAGGGAUGGUUAAGAGUGAGACUAUCUAUAUAGCUCUGUCACAUAUUAGUUGGUGGACAAGUUACUUAGUCUCAUCAUCCAUAGAAUGGGUAUGGUACUAAUAUCCUUAACUUACAGUUUUGACGAUCAGGUGAUUUAGUACAUGUACAAAUCUUAGAACAACAUGUGAAACAAAUCAAGCAGGGAAUGGAUGGUGGAUAUUGUUAGUAGAAGCAACACAGUCCUGAUGCUUUAUGGAUUUGGUUCAAGGAUUUGUCAUGGGUAAAAGAACCCAAACCCAAUAAUGAUAAUUUCAGCUUUCUGCAUGUUCUUACAAACAACAAGUCAUGCAGUAACCAAGCCUCAUAGUGUAUUUUCAUCAUGGUCUCAGGUUUACCUCAGUGAUGUGCUCUGACGACAGUCAUUAACCUUCAGGGACACUGAGAUCAUUUUGCCCCAGACUUGGUUCUCCAGGCACUCGUGCAGUUAUGAGGAUGUCUGCAUCUCAUUGCAGGCUCUCCAUAAAUACAGCUUCCUCUUUGCUUCUGAAUUUCAGCUUUUAAGUAGAGAGCAGAGGCUUAAUUUAUCCAUGCAUUCCUAAGUAUGGCUUGCUUUCUUGAGGUUUUCUUUUUCUUUUCUUUCUUUCUUUUUCUUUUUUGAAAUUGUUUGCUGUAGUCAUGUAAUGUAUCUCCUCUAACCAGAACAUCUUCGUCGGCGUUGUCUUUGCUGUAAUUGCUGUCUUCUGUGUGUUGCCAAGAUAGAAGGCGGGCUUUCAAUCUUCUUGGUGGGGAGAGGUGUUUUCUGCUGGAAGUCUGAUUAGAAAGUAGAUGUUGUGCAAAGCAAAUGCUCUAAUUCUUCCUGGGGAAAAUGUCCAGUACAUGUUCAGUGGGAGCAUCGAAGGGCCUGGACAGUACCCUGUAAGUCAGUGAUUCUCAACCUCUGGGUUGUGAUCCCUUUUAGGGGGAGGACGGUUGAACAACCCUUUCACAAGUGUCACCUAAAACCACUAGAAAAUACAGAUAUUCACAUCACAAUUGAUAACAGUGGCCAAGUUACAGUUAUGAAGUAGCUCAUCACAGCAUGAGGAGCUGUAUUAAAGGUCACAGCAUUAGGAAGGCUCAGGAGCACUGCUGUAGGCUACAAAGAUGGCACCCGCAUCUUUCAUCUUGCUAUUUAGUGGGUUUAUAUCUUGUGAAUUUUCUUGAAGACACAACUCACUUAAAUUAAUGAAUAGCAUAGGGAAAUAUUUAAACCUUUUUUUUAAAUAGCUGAGUUGUAGUUUCUUGCUAAUGACGUACUUUUGUCUUACUUUUUUUUCUGUGUUCACAUGCCUGCCUGCUCAUUUGUGUGCAAGUGCACAUGCAUGUGUACAUGUGAGUGCAUGUGGAGGCCAGAAGAGAACCUUAUUUCCUCAGUGUUCUCUCCCUUGGUUUUCGAGACAGGGUCUUAUACUGGCCUGAGGUUUGCCAGUUAGUCUAGACUCACCGGCCAAUAAUCACCAAGGUUGUGCAUGUUUUUGUCUCUCUAGCAGUAGAAUUUCAAGUGCAGGAUGUCACGCACAGUUCUUCUGUGGGUUCUGGUGAUUGUGUGGCAAAUGCUUUACCAACUGAGGUAUCUUCCCCCCGCCCCCAUGAACCUUAUUCUUUUUACAUUAAGGUUUUUGUUUAGUAGACCAAGUAAUGCGUUUCUUUAGGACGUUUGCACACAUCUGUGCCAUUGAACUUUGUCUCUGGUCGUUCUUCCCCAAGGUCCUCUCCCAUGUCCCCGCUGGACCCCUUCCUUCCUCUAGGGAGCCCCUCUUCUGCUUCCACACCAGCUAUAUGUAUCACCCUCUUCUCUCCCCUCCCUUAGGACCCCCUAACUCAUAAACUUCUUGCUUCUUCCUAGUUGCAUUACCCUCUACACACAUCUAACUAAACUAUUCAUAUACCCAUAUAUAAUUUUAAAUUUAGAUUCUUCUUAUGUGAGAAAGACAUAAGUCAUUUGUCUUUCUCAUUUGGGAUUUGUUUAUCAAAAACAUCGGUGAAAGUCCAUUCACAGUUAGUAAUCGUGCACUUGUUCUCAUCAUUAUGAGUCAGAGCUUUGAGUUCUUUAAAAGAAAGUAACCAUCAUGCUUUAUGUUCGUGAGUUUUAGAAGGAGGAAAGCUUCACAUCAUUGAUUGGGUAGGAAGCUGUCGGGCACCUUUUCCUUUAUAGAGAAACCUGAAGCUCCCACACAUCUGGAAAGGGGCUAACUUAACUUGCGUUUGGCUCUAACAACAGCAGGAUCAAAGGUUUCUGUGUCUUCUGCAGCGAGGCAUCAGGAGGAAGGCGACUGAUUAGUGUUCUGGUGGCAGGCAGCUCCAUGGCCAUAUAGGGGGCUCAGGGUUGGGACAGCUGCUCUUUGAGGCAUGACUUCUACAUUUCAGGAGAAAAGAAGACAAGGGAGAAGAAGCAAUAACUAAGACAAGAUGCAUUUUAUCCCUUUAAAAUCAAGAAGGCUGUGUGACUUCCAGUCACCCUGUUUAUUGAACUUCUGUUCACCAGUAAGUCACAUGACAUCUACUAACUUCAAAGAGUUAUCUUAGCUCUCUGCUGCUAUGUGACAAAUUGCUCUGUGUACCAGUAGCUCAGUGACAACUUUGCUGGUAUCUCUGUCCUCAGGCUUCCCACAAACAGUGGCCCAGACAAAGAUAAGCAAGGGACUGCAAUUUCACCCGAAAACUUGAGAGGAACCUACUCCCUCUCAUAUAGUUUGGGUUCAGAACCAAUUGGGUUGGCAAUGCUGGCUUUUGUUCCUCACAGGCUGUUGACCAGAGUUCUUCCAUUCCUUCUCAUGAAGCCUCCCCAUGGCGCACGCCAUACAUCAUACUUAGCUUGUCUUCAACUGAGCGAGAGUAAGAGAUGGCAGGAAAAAGGUCGCUACCAUCUUCUAAUUUUGUUGCUGGUAUUGUUGAGGGCUUGUGUGAGACAGGGUCUCACUCUGUGGUCUAGGCUGGUCUCAGGCUUACAGUGAGUCUCCUGCCUCAGCCUCGCAAACACUGGUAUUAUGGGUGUGAGUCAUUGUGCGAUGCUCCCUUAUCAUUUCACUUUGUUUUGUUUUUAGUUCUAUUCAUGAGCCAUCAUGCAGAUCUUCUGCCACAUCAAUCAAUGAAGACUUUGGACAUAUAUGUUACUGCCACCCAAACCCAGAAGGACAGGAUGAAUGUCUGCAGCUAGCCAGUGCCAUCGCAUAGACCAGGGGCAGGGAGCAUAGAAACCCGAGCUGAGCUCUACAUGCGCUGCCUAGUCAGUAAAUUAACUCGUUCCUUUGACUGUUCUUUCAAUAAAGUCAUUAAGUCAUUGACUAAUUUAAAAAGAAAAUGAAGCAUAAAGACACAAGUUGUGGACUCUGUGUCGCCUGCACCUCUUGUAUUACUGUACGGUGGAGCUAAAACUAGAACCCAGUUCUCCCCCAAACCCAGCAGUUAUUUUCCCUAAAACAGCAUGAUAAAGCCCUGAUGCACAACUUCUGAGACACAUCAUAGAAGCCUAACAUCUAGAUGAUUGACUUUUAAAAAAAAUUAAUUACCACCAUUUUGAAAAGGCAAUUUCUGUCACUCUCUGGGCAGAUGUCAAGGAGCCAUGUACAGGAAAGUGAGCUGCAACUCUGGUGUUAGAAUAGCUAUGCUAAUGCGACACUGAGAUUCCUUUGACUUUGAAAAGCUAUUGUUCAGAGGAGGCUUUAUAUUUUGGAUCUGCAUUUGGGAUACAUAAAGAUAUGUUGAGACCUUAUUACAAAGCAACAAUUUACACUUCUUUUUGUAUUUUUUACUUUACGUCUGAAUUACUGUUUUUGUAGUAGAUAAGAACUGAAGUUUUAAAAUGAAAUUCCCUUAUAUACCUUUGAGUGAGCUGAAUUUUCUGACUCCGGGGUUCAAGUUACUGUUAAAGCAGAACUAGUAGCUUAAUAUAAUGAUCAUUAUAUAUCUAUCCAGUCUUCACUGAACACACUUGGUUUGAAUAUCUGCUUGGACAAGGCACCAACAAAGUUGCUGUUGGGGAGAUGUAAGUGGAUGUCAAAGAAGCAAUCCUUGAACAGUGGUAAUUCAAACGGGGUUAGUUUCCCAUAAAUACCUUUGGAAACAGUGCAUGUUAAGGGGGAUUAGAGAGGAGGGGAGCACUUCAAGCUUGUAAAUCAGGAAAAGGUCACGCUAGAGCAAGGCCUGCUCCUAAAGAGAGAUCAGGCAAUUAAGCAUCUGAAAGCACGUUUGCUUGCAGUGUCACCUUCUCUGCUCAGGGCUUGGUUGACAGUGUUGUAUGAUGUCAUUCAAUGCAAGGCCCUUUAAACCAAAGUGCUUGAUCCCCUUGCCUUAGGACAAACAAGGAACACCACAUUUGCAUAUAGGACUCAAGCCCUGCUGGACGUGGGUCUUUAUAUCCUCAUGUGAUAAUCUGAUCAGUGCCUGCGGUGGAAGAAUGGGUCAAAGCAGAAAGGUCCCCAGCAGAAACAGGGCAAGCUGGAGAUUCACCCUUUCUCCAGGGUGACUUCUCACAGUCGUUCCUCGGUUGGGAAGAAACUGACUCUGUCUGAGACUGUCUGCCAUUGUCUUUGGGCGAGCAGGCGUCCUGUUGUUUUGUUUCUGGAUUUACAAGGACGCUAAUUUCACAGCCGCAAGAAAGAAAUAAGCUAACAUGCAGGGCUCCUUAGAGAGGAGCUUGGUGCGUAGGAAACACUCAGUGUGUUUUAGCUCUUACAGUUGUCUGAAGAGUGAUGAAUUCCCAAGAUGCUAGUCUCCUACAUUUAGAUAGGAGGGAAGUACAGAAUGCGUUCUCAAAGGCAAAUUGAUUAAUUGCUCACAGCACUUUGUCUUUUCACAGAUAAUGGAGAACCGAACAAAUUCAGUGAACUGUACUAGAUUAUCCUCUUCCUCCGAUCCUGCAGUCUGGAGUCUUGGAAGAAAGGGCUUUGAGGAAGCCAGACUUUCUAUACAGUUAGUGUACAACUGUUCCCCAAGGCUGCCACAACACAGCAGGAAAAAUUGGGUGCUCAAAGACAGUGGCAAGCUCUCGAUUCACAAUGCCUGAAGCAGAAGCCCCAAGUCAAGAUGGUGGCAGGCUUGUCUUCACUCUGAGACUAUGGUCAGCAUCGUCCCGUGUUGCUCUCUAGCUUCUGGCGUUGCUCACACGCUGUCUCCUCAGUUCCCAGUGUCUAUAUUUCUUCCUCAGUUAUCUGGUACCAUUCUUCUCUUAUGUCUAAAAGUCCCCAGAGUAUCUUCAUCUUACAAGGAUGGCAGCCAUAUUGGAUUAGGGCAUGCACUGAUGCCUUCCUCUUCAUUUAAUUACUGUGAAGACCCUGUUUUGAGAUAAGGUCAUAUUCACCUCACUUAUAUGGCUGCCUUUCUUUUUUUUUCUUUAUAGAGAAACAAUUCACCCUUAAAUGGCUGUCUCUAAAUGUGCUUUGAUGCGUGUGUGUGUGUGUGUGUGUGUGUGUGUGUGUGUGUGUGUGUGUACAGGGGCUGACUGGCUUUGAGGAAUUUGAGUAGUGAUUAGUGUGGCAGACCUGGCCGCUGAAAUGCUUAUACACCUGAGUGUUAGUGAAUUGCAGGUCAAAGGCAAUUUCACAGUCGUCUAGAGGUGGCUGCUCCUGUAAGACAGCAGGGUGGCUCUUUUGCUUUUCUUGUUGCUGUUAGUAGGAGUUCUAUGACUUGUGGAUGUAUGAACCUUAGAUGGAGCCAUGGAAUCCAAGUGUUCAGAAUUUACCAUUGUACUUGGGACAAGUCAUAUAUUUUCUAGUUUGGUUCCUUGGGAGGUCACACACGACCUCUCAGUGGACUCAGUCAAUGACCUAACCAGGAGAGAAGUCCACACAAUGGAAAGCUUAGAGAGCCAGGCUGUUGCUGAGGUUAGACACCCUGGUCUUCCCUAACUUCUACGGUCUCGAGCUGGGGCUGUGUCAUGGUCCGAAAUUCUCCCAUUUGUCUCUGUGGAUCCUGAAUGCAGCAGAUAAAAUUUUCAAAGGCUUAGCUGCCUGUAAUUUAAGAAUGAACUUGGUUAGAAGUCAGAUCAAGCAAAGAAAAUGAAAAUGUCAUUGCACAGAGGAAAAUGACCAAGCUGAUGGAAAUGCAGUAUUUUUAAAAAUAGUAAUUUGUAUCCUCUCUCUGCUCCCCCCCCCUUUUUUUUUGUCUUAGCCUUUGAAGCAAAUGCUUCUCCUUUUGGGUAUAAUCUAGUAAUGGCUAGUGUUUGAGAGGGAAUAAAGUAGAAACCAACUGGUAUAAGUCUGUAGGGAAUGCCAAAGUGACUACGUGAAGCUCUAUUACCUAUACAGUGGCAUUCCUUCUCAGGAAACAUGUGGGCCAUCUGAGGUGUUGCUAGGAGUUACAGAUAGAGAGUGAGGGGCAGAGAACAUGGUCGUUUCCAGUGAUGCACUUAGAACUAGAUGAUGUGAGUUGGGGAGAUAGCUCAGUGGAGAAACAUUCAUUGUACAAGUGUAAGCACCUGAGUUGGGAUCCCCAGCACUUAGGCUAAUCUUGGAUAGGCCUGGUGAUUAAUGCAAUCCCAAUGUGUGGGACAGAGAGAGGGCAUUUCCAGGAUAAGCUGGCUAGAUAGACAAGCUGUACUGGUGUCCUCUGGUAUCAAGUAAGAGGUCCUGUCUCAAUAUAUAAGUUGGAGUAUGAUUGAGGAAGUCAUAUGUGUCAACCUAUGACCUUGAUGUGCAUAACACAUGUGUGUCUCCGUUUAUGUAAACAUGCAUGCACACAUACAUGCAAAGGAAAACUAGGUAAAGCAUCUGUACUCUUUGAUUUUGGAAGAUAUUCUUUAUAAUUUAUUCACUUUAUAAUUAAUAUAUUAUAAUUAUAAUUCCAAUUGUUCCCAUAUUAAACAGUACCUUUUCAAAUUACAUUGGUGAGUUAUAUAAUAAAGGUCAUCAUUAUCAUCAUUUUAUGAGUGUAAUGAAUAGCAGUUCGGUCUCCAUCAACAAGUCAUUCUACAAGUCAUGAAGUCUGAAUCAAUGUAUUAGCUUACACUGAGCUUGUUUCUUGAUGAUUCAUACUGAAAGUUUGAACUUUAGAACUUUACAGGAAGAAGAGCCUAAUUGCGGAAGUCACAAGAGGGAUGGAGAACUGUUUACUGCUUGCUCUGUUGUAAAGCGUAGGGGGGCCAACUAUUAUUCUCAUGCCCAGCAACCAGAAGAUAAGACAAGGAGGCCAGACACAGUAUGAAUAUACACUGUGAUUCCCAGAUCAUGAACUAAACAUCCUUAGACUUUAGAGAGUAAUAGAAUGCCUUCUUCCAUCUCAUGCUCUCUGCACACAGAAUAUCACAUUUAACUUUUAACACUGUAGGUUAGCAGAGCUCAGAGACUGCAGGGAUGGUUCAGCAGGUAUCAGCACUGGCUGCUCUUCUACAGGCCCAGGGAUCAAUUCCCUGAGCCUACAUGUUAGCUCACUCCCAACCACCCAUAACUCCAGUUCCAGAGGAUCUGAUGCUCUCUUCUGGCCAACUCAAGCACUAGAAAUAUAUGUGAUGUCCAGACAUAAUAACAGUCAAAACAACCAUACACAUUGUAUAUAUGCAUGUAUGUGUGUAUAUAUACAUUAACAUAUAUACAUAAGCACAAACAUACAUAUGUGUAUAUUUAACUUUUUAUACUAUAGACUAGCUUUGUCUCACACAUAUAUACACACAGAAAACAUAUAUAUGUAUACAUGAUAAUGUAUAUGUAACUUUCAACUCUACAGAUUAGCUUUGAAACACACACAGACACCACACACACACACACACACACACACACACACACACACACACACACACAGCCAAGCUAUCCUACAAUCUUAAAAGUUGGACGUGAUUAUUCUGUGUGCAGAGAUCAUGAUUUGGACGAAGGCAUGCUAGGACUGUCUGAAUUCUGAUAGUGAUCUUCAUGAUCUGGGGAUGUUGACCUCAGUGUGUUCAUCCUAUGAAAAUUUAUCUAGCUCUAUACUUAAUAUUCUCUAUAGCUUUCUGCAACUUUUAUAUUUAAAAAAAUAAAAACCACUGUAUGAUUGAGUUUAUUGGGAACCUACACGCUCUCUAAAGAUAUUUUUGUCCUGAAGAAUUUUGAAUUUUGUACAGAUAUUGUUAUUAAGAUAUAUGUUAUUAAAAUUUGUCUUGGUGGAUUUGGAAAUAUAUUCAUACACAUAAAAUUUUUUUAAAAAGUAUUUACGCCAAAAUUGCUGAAUGUUUCUUUGGCACCAUGCUUUAUUGUUUCUCAUAAUUAAUAACUACUUUUGUUUCUAAAAUUAUAUUUUCCAGUUAUAUUAAUGUAUUCAAAAGCCUUCCCAGGGGCCAGGAUUAACUGUAAUUUAUAUUCGUUUAGAACAUAGAAUUUGCUUAGCAGAUUCCUCAUUUCUUGGUAGCUGUGUUUUUAUAUUUAAAAGUUUUAGGACUCUGAGAACUAGGUGAACGGAAAAGAAUAAGGCGGGUGGGGGUGUGUAAAUGAGUCUUAGAAGGCGUGGCUGUGCCAGUGGUUGCUAUGUCAGUGGUCGGUGAUGCAGCCUUAGAGGACAAAAGUCUAAAUCCACAAUUAAGAGCAGGCUGAAGGAAUGUUCUCUUGGCCACACACCUUACACUUCCCGCUGGCCAUCUAUGUUGAACUCUUGUUGACUGAAUGGAUUUAGACCAUCCGAUUAGUUGGUGGAGAGAGAAUAUAAAGAACUUAGAUUUUGUUUAAAUUUUUACCUUUUUAAAUUACUUCAGCUGAGUGCUUUGGGAGGGAUGGGGAAAUAUGAGAUAGAGUUAAUAUGUCCUGUUUUCUUUCCCAGCAAGAACUUCCUCUCUAGAUGAAUAACCUAGUCUUUGAUAGGUAAAAUAUUUAAGUGAAGAUAUAUAUGUGUCAAAUAUAUGUAUUUGACAGGGAUGGAGAGAUGGCUCAGUGGUUAAGAGCAUUGAUUGCUUUUCUAGAGAUCCUGAGUUCAAAUCCCAGCAACCACAUGGUGGCUCACAACCAUCUGAAAUGGAAUCUGAUGCCCUCUCCUGGUGUGCAUGAAGACAGUUACAGUGUACUCAUAUACAUAAAUAAAUAAAUCUUUAAAAAAUAUCUGAGUAAGAUAGGAAUGUACACAUCAGUAACACUAAUUGUGUGAGAGCAUCUUAGCCUAGAUGUCACUGGUGUCUUUCAUGGAUCACUGGAAUAGCCUCUAACUGGUCUCUGCUUCACUCUUAAAGAUAACGUCUAUGUUUGGCUUAUUAGCACUCUUAGGAUUAAUGAUUUCGAUUUCCUGACGUUACUCUGUCAUACUUGACCUAUUUAUGCAUUCAUUUGUUUGCCAGUCACAUGAUAACCACUGCCUCUCUGACGGAAACCAGCAUUAGAAGUGGAAUAGACUAGCUACCAGGAAAUGUAUUAAUAUGCCCGAUACCUGUGUGAAAACAUGUGACACCGUCAGUGCUCACAGAUGAUAGGGACAGUUUUUUCUCUCAGACUGUCCCAAAUGGAGAAUAAAUGCUAAUAUCCACCAUUGCUGAAACUUUAUGGGAACCGGCCCAUUGGUAUACUCUUGCCAGAGGCAACUUCAGCAGUUGGAUAUGCGAGUUAAAGCAUCCUUAGCCAGAGACAGCGAUGGGCCCAGUGAGUCUCAGGUCUUUAAAAUAUGAACACAGAAUUAAGUAUGGAAGUAAAGGUUGGAAUGAGGGAAAAAAAGUCACAUUUUCUAAAGUUGAUAAGCAGCACAAAUGUCACAAAUACAUUAUUAAGUGGCAAGCUUAAAUCAGCGCACUCCAGGUCAAGGCUGCGAACACCCGUGCUCCGAUGGCCUCAGACAGAUUAUUCAUAGAAGAAUUGAUUACGAAAGAUCAAAGCCCAGUUGCAAUCUCUUGCACUCUGCGGUGAAUGCCCUGGUCUGAACCUCAAUGGUGUUUCUCUUGGAUCACUAGGGUUGUCUCCGCUUUGCCAUUGAGCAUAUGUCUGCGUUUGGUUUAUGAACAGGUUUUAGUAACAGAUUCUGUGGUCUUCCUGUGAAGUAAUUUAUUUCUUACAUUAGCUUGGUAACCGUCAGAUCGACUUCAUAUACCACAGUAAUUUUACACAGUUUGCUACAAAGGUAGAGGGAAGACUGCUGAAUCCUCUGGUGGGGUCUGUGGAUCUUUUUUUCAUCUCCCCUUUCCAUAUCCUUUAAUUUUUAAAUUUUUCUUUGUGAGUAUUUUGCCUACAGAUAUAGGUACCUUGUGCACACCUGGUACCUAUGAGACCAGAAGACCGUUUAGAUUCCCAGGUACUGGAGUUAUCAGUGGUUCUGAGCAGUCAUGUGGGUGCUCAGAACCAAACCUCAAUCAUCCGCAUGGGUGAAAUAUAGUCUUAACUCCCGAGCCAUCUCUCCACUCCCAUUCCCCACAGUAUGCCCAGUCUUACGGGCCUCAAGCUGGCCUCCAGGUCUAUGGAGAGGUCUUCUGAUCUUCUCACCUCUGUCCCCAAGGGCUAGGAUUACAAGCAGGUGCCCCUCCCUCAGUUUAUGAAGUGUUGGAUUGGGCUAAAGGCUUCUCAUAAGUAAGGCAAGCACUCUCGACCAAUUACGUUCCUCCCUCUUUUUUAUGUUAAUGCUUAAGUUAUGUAAGACUUGAUCAUUCGUGAGCCAUCAUAGCUGCUGUCCACACCCCUGUGGUAGAUUGGUUGUGUUUCUUGUGCAUGUCCUCAUGAUAGCAAAUAUAUGUUCAACAGGGAGAUGUUCAACAGGGAGAGCUUUCUUUGAGUUUAACCACUGAUGGGAACCGAAUCCUCUGCUUAUAGAUUUAUACAUAUAAAUUUAGACACUUGCUAAUUGGAAGAUUUGUUUUGUUUUACAGGCUGACUCUUGACUUAGUAUUCUUCAAAUAUUCUUUCUUCUCCCUUUUCUGGACACAAUUUCUGGUGCCGGUUUGGCAGGAGGCCUUUUCAUUGUGAAAUGACCCUUGACCCGGCAGGAUGAGUUGGAAACAUCUCUGAAUAUUCCUGCUCUGGAACAGUCAUUAAUCAUUGUCCUUGAAAAUGAUAUCAAAACCAAUAGAUAAAAGGCGCAGAACCAAAACAUAAUGUCACCCUUGGGUCAGUUUGUGCUGCCAGGUUUGGAGGAUGCCAGUGCCUGCUGCACUGCCCCUCAGUGUAAGGGACUGCUGGGUAAAGGAGAUCUGAAGAGGAUGGUGAGUGCCGACAGCAGUCACAGUGGGAGCACAUCGAGAUCUCAUCUUCACAAAUUCUAUAAAAGCAUAUGGCCACUGAAUACAGUUUGAGAUCUGGGUAACAUCCUGGAAAAGGCUUUGAGCAAAUGAGGAGCUCCGAAGCUGAAUUGUUACCCAGCCCUUGAUGCAUGUCUGUGGCCAGCAAUUGAACUCUCAAGAGUUCAUCCUAAGAACUGUGCAGUGAAGCCAGCGCUAGAAGCGCCCAAGUGCUUGCUGUCUGCUGAACCCUGCUAAGACUUCAUUUUGAUAUUUUUAAUGAGCAUUCUGAUUGCUUUUGUAAUAAAUGGUCUUUCUACUUUUUAAAACGGUACAGAGAGUGGUCUCGGUACAUGCCUGUAACCCCAGCACUUGUUGACCGUUAGAAGGAUUAACCAUGAACCAGCUUGGGCUACAUUGUAAGAUUCUAUCUCUCAACAAAACAAAAACCCCAAAUGUUGAAGAGCGAUGUUGUAUUUAUAUACGUCUUCAAGUUUAGACAAGUCAGGAAGGUCAUUUUUCCUUAUCUUCUCAGUUCUCUUCUUAUUCUGCGUAUGUUCACUAAAUGUAUGCACUGACUUUACUUAGCGAUUGCUAUGUAGCAAUCAGAGUGUUUGAAUCCCUCUGCUCACAAACCUCAUAUUCUUGGUGCAAGACAGACCAAACAAGUCAAAAACUAAGGGAAGUGAAGUCUACAACAUUUUACAUAGUUAUAAGCAUUCAGGGAAACAGUGGGUGAACUUACCAUUCUGAGCUUGGAAGCUUUUACUCAUGGGUCUUCCUGGGUGAAGGGACAUCGACCUGAAGGAAUUACUCUGUGGCAGGGUAGCGAUGGGAGCUGGCCUUUUCAUGAGCUUGAAACCAGUUGAGCUUCGUUAGGAUGUUGAGAGUUACGUCAACAUGACCUGACUUUUAUUUUAAAACUAUCAUCCCUCUGGCUGUUGGGUUGAAAACACUAGGAGCGAGAUUGGAACAGGGAGUUGGGCUAACAGGUAUCCUCACUCUUGAUGCUGGGGAAUAGGGAUGCGGAUCGUGCAGGUAGGUGUUGAAAAGGUACAGGCUCUAUGUCGUCUCUAAUAGUCACGUAGAUAACCGGCUGUCUAGCUUAGUUAUCGGGAGCUAAUUCUCACCAGACCGGCCUCAGGUUCUGCUGCUCACGCUAGGGAAUGCUGACUUAGAGGAAUUUUUGUUCAUGUGGUACAGUGGCUUCUUUCUUUAGAACUGGGAAACUCAAAUGUUUUGAAGUUUUUCCAGGAAGACUGAGUUGCAAGGAGGUAGGUUGAAAAGUUGCAUACUUUGAUCCUUUGCUUUCUUGUUAAUUGUUGUAUGAAGUACCUUUGUACCUUUGGGUAAUUCUGUCAAGAUGGAGUAUUGUUUCUUGAGAAAAUAUGUGUGUGUGUGUGUGUGUGUGUGUGUGUGUGUGUGUGUGUGUAGUAGGCAGGCAUAGCUGUGAAAAUCUAAUGUUGAAAAAAGAGAAAUAAAUGGAUAGACUAGGAAUAGAUUAAAGUGCUAUAAAACCCUGGAAUUUAGAAAACUCAAGCACUGAAUAUUCAGUAUGCCUAGGGGUCUUCUCUUGCAAUUUUAAUGCUUGAAUUACAUUAAGAUGUAUUAGGAGAAGCCACAACUACCAAACGGCUUUUACUUGAUGUGUGUACUCUUGGAAAAGGCAAUGUAGUACCUGCAAAUUCACUUUCAUGUAGGGUUAUACCUGGCCCCUUGUUGACGGCACUAGAAUAAAUUGCCAUUUAAGGUAACAGAAUUAUCCUUCCUGGAGUUCUUUAAAGAUCGGAUGAAAUGGCACUGGCUGUGCUGAGAUGUCUUGAUUUAGGUCAGUGGAGGUCACGUUACUUGACAGCACACAUCCUUUGAUUUAGUAAGAUGAAUUCCUUCAGUGUUUUCUAAAAUAUAUAUCCUUCUCCGUAGAGGCAGCUUGGUGUGAACCAGGGGAAUUAGAAAUGGCUUGAACAGAAGGAAAAUAUUUUGAGGGGUAUUUUCUUCCUUCUCUUCCUCCGUUUCCUUCUGUCCCUCCUCCUUAUCUUCCUCGUCUUCCUCCUUUUCCUUUUCUUCCUCCUCUUCCUAUUUCUACUUCUCUUCCUCUUCCCUCUCUUCCUUCUCUUCCUCCUCCUCCUCUUCCUCUUCUUUUUUCCCUUUCCUUUGAGUUGUCAUGUCAAAGGAGAAAAAAUAUCUAAGGGGAAUAAAAAAAUUACCUUAAAUCUACCCCAAAUAAUGUACACAGUAUAUUUUUAUUUACCUUUGAUGUAAGGAAUGUUUUGUGCAGGCAUAUAUAGCUAUACACAUAUAGAAAGACCUUUUUUUUUUUUUUGGUUCUUUUUUUCAGAGCUGGGGACCGAACCCAGGGCCUUGUGCUUCCUAGGUAAGCGCUCUACCACUGAGCUAAAUCCCCAGCCCCUAGAAAGACCUUUUUAAGGGUGGUUCGACUGGAAAGAACAUAACCACGAGCUGCACAGGUCAAGCUAAAUUAAUUUACUGUGUCAGAGGAAAAGAAUGCUUGCCGUGUCUUGGAAAGAAACUGAGGCAAUUCUUUUGUAAAAAAUGUAUAGGCGGUUUUGAAGAAACCCGCGGAGGCUUGCAGCGGUCAGACCGUCUUUCAUCUCGGCCUUUUAUUUGUUACAUGAUAUUUCAGAGUUCACUUUAAUACUGCCAUUGUGCCUCAUUUUCUUUCAUCUUCCCUUCCCACCCCAGCCUCCAUUUAGGGGGUGUCGGGACUUCCUUUGAGAAUCUGAAUGAAGCUCUGAAAGCCUUCCUCUCAAAACUAUGCAUGCAUGUACAGAAAAUCUGCAUGAAAGUUCAGGGGUCUCGUGGUCCCAGGGACCUGAGCUGAAUGUGAGUGAAUGAGGACGCGUCAGUAACGAUGCGUGGCUACAACAGCUGUCAUGGGAACAACAUUGAGAGUGGGAGCCCGUUAUCCCCAGCUACAAAGUAGAAAAGAGACAGCUCGAAGGACAGGCUGGGAUCCUCUGUGUGGAAAGAGUAAGUUUGCUUCAUGUUGCCCUGCGCUGCAGCCACUGACCACACGCUGUUAUGUAGUUAAAAUUAAAGAAUUCUGUUCUCUAUGGACAGGAAGGAUUUUUCAAGUGGUGAAUGACUGAGUGUGUUCCUGGCUUCUGAAUUCGACAGCAAAAAUAUAGACUAUGUCAUCCUUGUAGAGAGGUUUUUUUUGGGGGGGGGACGGGGUGGGGGGGCAGGGCUACUCUAAAAUUGGGGAUUUUAAAUGGUGGCAAGGCAGAUUUUAGCUGUGUCCAGAAGCGCUCCAUCACGUGUAGCCACCCAGCGCCUGUUGGGCUGAACUGGCUCCCUCAGCACACAAAGCUCUCUAUCCUUCGGAGGCCUCACACAGAGAUGAUUCCUACCUACUCCAUGCGAUGUAGAAGACUCUGCAGAGAGCUGCAGGGCAUUUAUAUGGGAGGAUGGGUGUGAAAUUCAAUAUUUCUCUGACUGACAAUGAAGACGGAGGCGGUCUGGGACACACACUUUCCUCCCCAGCCCCACAAAUGGUCCGUGGAAAGGGCUCUAUGUCCUUACAAAUCCCAGUUCUGUAGUCUUGCCCCUGCCUAAUGUUUUCACAGCUCCUAAUGUUUUCUAGGGGCUCCUAGACGUUCUCGUUAAACAGCAUUUCUGCUUGUGCUUUAACCUGCUGUCUUAGUUAUGGUUCUAUUGCUGUUAAGAGACACUAUGACCAAGGUAACUCUUAUGAAAGAGAACAUUUAAUCAGACGCUUGCUUAUAGACCAUUACUGCCACAGUGAGGAGCAGGGUAUCCCCCAAUCAUAAUGCUAUUUUUGUUGGUACUUCAUAACUGUAAGAUUGCUACUAUUAUAAAUCAUAAUAUAAAUAUCUGAUAUGCAGGCUGGUCUUAUAUUCAUUGUAAUGUAAAUAUCUGAGAAUUCCCGAGGGGCCAUGACCUAUAGGUUGAGAAACAUUGCUUUAAUGUCAUUCCAUUUUGCCUUGUCUCUCAGAAGCUUCUUAAAGGCCAAGAUUAAUGUUUCUGUGUUUAUAUCUCGUGUCUGUCUUUCUCAUAGAACAUAAAAUCCUGUUCUAUGAGACAGAGACCACAGGUGCCUUCCUCAUCACUGCAUCCCUACUGUGCAGAAUAUGUUCUCCCAGCCAAUGGGUGCGUAGUACUUAUUGAAUAAGUGAAUGAAGUUUUUUCUCCCCAAGUGCUUAGUGGUAUGGUGAGCUGAUAAUCAGUUCUUUAUAUUGCAUUUACAGUCCUAGAAAAAUAAGCAUAAAAACAUAAACAGGAAGGAAGAAUGCUGGCUUAGUGGGAAAAAGUGCUUGCUACUGAGAUUGAAACAGGGGUUGGACUCCUUGGCCCCACAUAUUGGAAGAAGAGAUCUACACAGAGUAAGUGAAUAUGUAAAUAAAUAAGUAGACAUCACUAAUCAUUGAAAUAUAACAACUGUGUAAGGUCCUCACCAUAUAAUGAACUUAGAAGCCACCGCUUCUGUCCUUGUAAUAAGAAAAGUUGAAUAAGCUGAAAGAAGUGAUAUUCAUGGGCUUGCCAGCAAUCUUGGAGCAGUACCUCCUCCCCCAGUAAAUCUUGGGGAGAAGGUGAGUUUAGACAGUGGCAAGAUUUACUUCUGUGCAGCAGAAAUAGUGAGAAUAAGAACCCGGAGGAGCUGCUUGUGGGAGCUGUGUGCAUUAGAGUGAGACAAUGUUGGGCUCAGCGGACAAGGAAGGGCUCUCACUGGACCCAACCUCCAGGAACAGGAGAUUUUCAUAAAAGAAAAAAUAAACAAACAAACAAACAAAGAUCCUGCUGGCUCACAAAGGAGAAAAGAAUACCUACUGUUGAAUCUUCCCUAGUAGGCAUUGCAACAAGGGUCUCCUCCAAAGGCAAAAGCUUUCCCAGAAUCCCAUUCUUCUUGAAGAAAACAAAUUUCUCUACUCAAGCCCUGAAGAUUUACUUUGUUAUCCAACAGGGGAGAUGCACCAUUCUUUCUAGUCACCAUGACAGGGCUCCUGUGUGAAAAUGAGGGUUACAGUUGAGUUACAGGGUGCAGAAACUAUACCGGGAUGAGUCCUCAAGAAAGCAUGGGAGAGAAGACCCGAGUACUAGAGGAGCGUGGGAGCUCUGACGUUUCCAUCUAUAGCAAACAUUAAACAGCUUGAUGCUAGCCAGAUCAUCACAAACCCUCACGCCCUAGAGCAUCUACCUUGGUCCCGUUAUCCAACUCAUCAUCUAGGACUCUUACAGAAGGAGUAACUAGUUAUAUUAGAAGGCAAGGGAAAACACCAAGAAAAGGCAAACAGACGAAGCAUCCGAACCAGAAUCAGGUCUCACACAGAACUUGGAAUUCUUCAAAAGAUGACUUUACACCACUGUGAUUCGUUGUGAAGGGCUCUAAUAGCAAAAUCAGACAAUAUGCAUGAACAGAUGGGAGAAGUAAGAAAAGACAGAAACAUCCAAGAAAAAAAAUUAAAAGAAACGCUAGGGGUCAGGUGUAUGCAGCCAGACAAGCCCUGCUGGGGCUCUCCCUGCUGAGGGAAUGGAUUGGCUAAGCAAGAGCUCACCGAGCUUAGCUAUGGAAGUUAGGAACCCUGGCCUAAAGUCCAAAGAUCCAUAGUUACAGUGGGAAUAUUCAAAGCAAACGUACAACGACUGUGAUGAAGUAUCAAAAGGUAAAAUGCACGUAUAAUUAAAUGUCAUAAGGAAAAACAGAUGAAAAAAUUCCCCAAAUGUCAGACCUAGGAAAUUCAGAAAACACCAAGAGAGGUAUAAAGGACUAACCAGCCUCCAUAGAUAAGUAAUAUCCAUGUUCCAGGAAAUGGAGAGGAAGUUCUGAAAGAAGCUGUGAAUUGGUCUAACCUGUUGUGAAUUGGUCUAACCUGUACAAGAAUAAGGAUGAGAAUUACAGUGGGCAACUCACAAGAGCCCAUGCGGGUGGGAUGUGGUAUUUAAAGAGUGAAGAGAAAUACAACACCAACCUUCCCAUCCGUGUCCAGGGAAGCCAUUCUUUAGAAGUAAAGGACUAGCAAACACUUGUUUAGAUGAACAAAACCGAAUGUUGCUUCUUUUUGCCAUCACGUUCGCCCUUUCCAAAAUGAUGAACUAAGUUUCUCAAAGGAAAGGAAAAGGAUUGAGUAAACCCAGAGACUCAGGUCUACGUGAACAAGUAAAUGUGUAGGAAGAAGUAAAUACAAGGAAAGUAAAAUCCUUUGUUUUUCUCAUGAUGUACUUAAUAAAUCGGCUCAAAGACAUGAUGUUGAGGAUGUAUGUGAUGGCUACAAUAGGUGAGUCAUAAAAUAAACGAUGAUAUCAUAAGAAGUAGGGGAGAGAAUUGUGCAAUCCUCUGCUGUAUGAUUCUUAAACCACAUGUUGACAGAAAUUCUGUUUUCUGAAGCUGAACUUGGAUCCAUUUAAAAUGCACAUCGCAAAUUCUUGUAGAACUAAGAAGUGUGCUUGUGGUUGGUUUGUGCAAAGAUCCCAUGAGACGUCUGCUGUGUGGUUCGAACUUCUCACAGUAAAGGGAGCACAUGGCAGGGCCACACAAAUAAUACAGUGACAUUGCCAGCUUGUUAGAUAUUAAUCCAGUUCUGAAAUGAUGACCCCAAAUGUGAUUGAUUUUACUAUCCCAGUUAACUAACUAAAACACAGCAUUGGGCUGAAUGAAAAAUGAUCCAACUCAGUAAAUCCUCGUGUUUUAAUUAAAAGAGCAGGAAAGGACGUGUGCUGUAUCAGCAUGGUUGGCUUUACAAAAGCAAAACUCACCACUGUAAUUUUAGCCAAAGUAAGAUUUCACCCCCAGAGAAAUUAUCAAGGACACAGAGAGACAUUCAGAAAUGAAUUAGUUCUUCAAGGAGGAAUAGCAGUAUGAAUACCCCCAAACACAACACCAGAUCCUUUGUGGUAAAAACUGUUGGCCCUGCAAAGAAAAACGAGCAGACCUACCGUAGCGGCUUCAGAUGUCAACACCUCUCCUCCAGUAAGGAGCAGAUCAAUUGAGCAGAAAAUCAGAAGCACACAGUAGAACUAGACAGCACUCUCAGUGAGCUCCGUCCCGCCAACAGCUGUAGAGAACACCAUUCAACAACAGCUGAGUCUGCUUUCCUCAAGCCGUGUAUGCACAUUGGCCAAGAGUGACCGAACUAAUUCAUAAGACAUUCUUUGUCAAAUUUAAAAGACUGAUACCACAUGAAUACAUACACAGAUGGCAACGAGCUUAAAAUAGAAGUUAGAAAGACAUUUGGAAAACUCUCAAAUAUGUGACUUAAUGAACAGCACUCGUGGCAGUAAAAAAAAAAAGGAUCGGAGAAGUCAGAAGAUCAAUUAAUAAUUUUGAAUUAAAAUAAAAAUUUGAACUAACAUAAAAUUGUGGAAUACAGGCAUAACAGCACCGAGAGAACAACUACGUAUUUGAAAGAUAAAAAUAAUAAAGGAAUAAAGGUUUUUUUUUGAUAUGCCACUGGGGAACAUCCACCCAAGUACAGGUUCUCAGAGAUGAGGCUCCAUCUCUCGCCUCUAAAUCACUGAUAUAGCUUCUUCACCCGCAAGCAUGAGAAUUGUGACUCCCCAUUCCCUAACAUAGGCUGCAUGCAAUGUCUUCAUUCUAAAUGGUAUAGUGUAGAGAAGAAGUGACUUUACCAUAGUUACUCAAAGGAGCUACGGACAUACCCAGGUCAGGUGAUGAAGGCUGACGUCAGUGACAGACAGUGUGACAUCAUGCACAAAUGUGAUUGAUAAGCAGAGCUCAUUGCUUCCAUGAUCUUGCUGCCCCAGACAUGCAGUCUCUGUUUAACCAUGCCAAGCAAUGCCAACCUCUCCUCCUUGUCUUCUACGAUGAUUCCUGAGCUUUGCCAAGAGGCUCUGUGACGUAAAUAUUCCAUCUAGAGCCGAGAACUCCGAAGAAGCCUUUUGUUCUUUGCACUUUGAGCAGUCCGUAAGGCUCGGUGUGAAUUGCUAUCUACGACAGAACUCGGCUUCUCUGAUGAGCUUUGAGAGACGUAAUGUUCCGUGAGUAUAGUACAUCAUUAGGAGACAAGGUUUCUACUCUGUCCACUUACCAAAGUAAUGGUGGUAGCUUCUCCCAUAGGGUGUGAGGCCUGUGUAGCAAAAAUAAUAUAAAGUAAAAUAAAAUAAUUGAUAAUUUCUAGCUACUGUGUGAGGAAGAGUUACUUCUUUUAAGGGUGUGGUAUCUACUACAUUGAACACAUUGCCAUGGCUGGCUCCAUACCUCUGAGUAUACAGACACCACAGUUGGACUCAAUAGGUUUAGAAAAAAAAGUGAGAUACAAAGUUAUUUGAGUACAGAGGGGAUGUGGAUCUGAGAGAAUUUGGUGGUGAGUAUGACCAAAAUACAAUGCAUGGAAUUCUCAAAGAAUAGUUUUUGUUUUUAAAUUAAAAUCCAAACCAACCAGCCAACCAAACAUACAUAAAACCUAAAGCAAUAUCAAAUGUGAGUGGCGUUCUGCAAUGCUCAGUUCUCCCCAGAAAUCUCAGGAUCAUCAGUCAGAGCACUCGACGAAAUAGUUAAAAAUAGACACGAGGAACCUGAGAAGCAGGACAAACAACCCAGUGGGGCCGGGAGCCAGAGCAUGGAAGACUAUCAGAGAUUAUGCGGACAGUCUGACUAAGGUUUAGGCUGCAGAAACAGCUCGGUCCAUACAGUACCUGCUGGCCUAGAGUGCCUAGGCAUUAUGCAAGUUCUUGAUCCCAGAACUGCAUAAAACGGAGUGUUUCACAUUCUUACACUCCCAACACUUGGAGGUAGAGGCAGGGGAAUCAGGAGUUCAAGGCCAACAUCAGCUAUUAAUGAGUGUGCGGCUGGUGUGGGCUACCUGAGGCCCUGCCACAGAGACAAAACAACUGAAGCAACAGGAGAAUCGGAGGAAAGGCACAGACAUUAGUUAGUAAGAAUGUAUCGGCAUUAGUCUGUUGUCUUGGAAUCAUAACGAGGGGAAACAGGAUGUAAGGAUUCUUGGAAUUCACUGUAUUAUCUUUGGGAUUUUUUUCCUUCACAUCUGAAACCCCUUUAAAAAUGUACUAACUUUAAUUAUGUUAAGAAUAAUUAAAAUGAAUGCAGGUAUACUUCUAUUUUUUUUUCCAAUUCGUAGUAUUUCCAUGCCAACUGUUUCAGUUUUAAAACUUGUGCUAAGUACAGCUUUCGGUGUUUGUGACAUCAGGCUUGUUUGCUGCUGGGAUGUAGCAAUUUCUUUUCCCUCAGAAACAUUUGUCACAGCAAAACAUCGAAACUCUAUGCCUUCCGUGUAUUUUCAGUGCCUAGAUUGCCCAUUAUCAUUUUUAUGGUGCUCUUUAAGGAUGAAACAUGCAGAGCCGUAAAUGGGAAGUGAAACCGGGCCAUCCCUCCCAUGCUCUCUUCAUUCUGUCAUUAUGUAUGAACAACCCGUGUGAAGAAGACAUCGCCUUGAAACCAGACGGGCAGGAUCGGCAGGGCUGCAAUGGUGUCAUCCAAACUCUUGGGAGUUCUGUUAUUCAGACGUCUUCCUGGUUCAUUCGUGCAUUAGGAGAACUAGCUGCUUUCUCCUCCUGACAGAAGAGCCUGUUGUCAUGACAGCUGUGAGGCUGUGUGAAGACACUGUGUAAGGGCGCCCUGAACUAGAAAGGAAAGAGCACUUAGGUCUCGCUGAUGGUGCACGGAAGUGUGUGAUGUCUCAGAAUGCACCUUGAGAAUCUGUUAGCCUCAUUGUGCACAUGCCAAUGUAUACAUUCCCAUGGUUUGAAUAGAAGAGUCCAUCGUGAUUGACAUCUUGGUCUGCACCGUGGCAUUAUUGGAGGGGAGCAUAUAGGCGCUUGGGACAUCUGAGACGUGGGGAGACUGUAGGUCUUUGGGGUGUGAAGUAUUUACUCUGUAACACUUUGAUAGUUUUUCUGAUGCUUGUUGUGACCAAGAAUGGCCUUAUCAUUUCCUUUUUCUGCUUUUAUCUCUUGUUUGUUCUCCCUUGCCUCUCCCACCCCUCAACUCCAUUCUCACUCGAUAUAGUGACAAAGGUUACUACUGGUGCUUGAGGCCAACAGACUGAACCUUCAGAAACCUUUAGCUGAAUAAAGGUUUGUUCCUUUUUAUGUAGACUCUGUCAGGGAUCUCAUUGUAGGGCUACAAAGUUCACAACACACACACACACACACACACACACACACGUGCAUAGAGACACAGAGAGUUCAUCUUUCCACAUGCUAAGCAACGUACAGGAAAAAAAUUCAACACCAAAUCAAACACCUAUACAUAUUAUCUCUUUGGAUUGCAGACCAAAGAUUUAUCACAUUGAAGAUUUACCAAAUUUAUGGGAAAUUCUAAUAGGGGAAGGUUUUCCCAAUCAGAAGGGAUUUUUGUCAUUUGCUACCACAUCCCCUUGAGACAGGGUUUCCCACUGAGACUGGGGAUCACUGACUUUUAGCUUGACUGACCAGGCAGCAAACCUAGAGAUUAAUCUGUCUCCACAACCCUCCCUUGUAGCACUGGGGUUAUAGGUGGAACACAUCUGGCCACAUCAGGCUUUUACCCUGGAGUCGAGGAUCCCAACUCAGGCUCUCAGGCUUGUGCAGGAAAAUGUUCUUAUCCAUCAAUCCAUCCCCCAGACCCUAUUAUUUUUGUCUCAAUAUAUUCAAGGAGAAUAACUUACUGAAAGGUACUUACUGACUCUCUCUGUCAGUCCCCAGUAGGCUGCCCAUCCUCCAGGGGAUGGCCCUCUAUCAAAAGCACACACUGAUAGCACUAAGUAUAUUGAGUGGGUUUCAAAAAGAAGACGUGGAUUGUUGGGGGGAGGGCAGCAAUGAGGGGAGGGUGGGGAGGGGAACACCCAUAAAGAAGGGGAGGGGGAGGGAUUAGGGGGAUGUUUGCCCAGAAACCGGGGAAGGGAAUAACAUUCGAAAUGUAAAUAAGAAAUACUCAAGUUAAUAAAAAAAAUAAUAAAAUAUAAAAAAAAUGUAACCCCCCCCCAAAAAAAGACGUGAAGUCAAGAGGAAGAAGUGAUGGCAGAAAGUUAGAAAGAAGAGAGUUAGGAAUGCAUUUAAUCAAAAAACAUUGCAUUCAUCUAAGGGAUAACCAACCAUAAAGUUCUUAAAAAGAAAAUUCCAGUUCAGACAGCAAAGAACUCCGAGAAACUCAUAAAGCAAAGAUGGUAUGGACGUGGUUAGGACUGAAAGCAAAGACUGGCCAUCUGCUGUUUGUUAUGCUAUAGCUGCACCUUUAAAAUUUAUAUAUUAAAACCCUAACGGUGUGUCUGUACUUGCAAAAGGGAGCCUUUGAAAAGGUGCUCAUGCUAAUAUGAAACUAUUUGGGUCAUUCCUCAAUCGAAUUUGACUGGUACUCUUAUUUGGGGAGGAACUAUGUACGUACAGAGACCCACAGCGAUUCACAUGCAGAGAAGGUAAUCUUGGCAGGAGAAGGAGCAGGGAGCCUUUCCAACCCAAGGAGAGAAACCAGAGAGGCUGGUGUGAAGCCUGUGGAACCCGGUGACAAGGUUUCUGUUAAAAACUGUGAGGCUCCCCAGGCGGUGACUCAUGCCUUCAAUCCCAGCAGUAGGGAGGCAGAGGCAGGAGGAGUUCUGAGUUUGAAGCCAGCCUGGUCUACAGAGUGAUUUCUUACCUAGCCAGGGCUUCCUAGAGAAACACAGUCUUGAAAAACAAACAAACAAACAAACAAAGAAGGUGAAGCUCACGGUGUUCUGUUUUGGGAGCUCUACCACACAGAUGUUGGACUAUGACACUAUCAGAGCCCGUGGUUCUGUGCUCUGUGAGAACGUGUUACUAGAGAGGAACACAUGAAUCAUUGUGCUCUGACAGUUUAGUGCUGCAAAUACUGCCAUGGGAGAUGUUCACAUGGCUUGGGGAGUCUGAUGAUGGAUUGCGAAACUGGAACAGGGGUGAAGCGGGAAGUCUUGCUGGAGGUGGAGUGGAGUUAGGCUGAGAAAGGGCAGUUGGAACAGAAUGUUAAGUAGCAGGGAGCACACAGGUAGAGAUGUGGCUGUCGGGCAGUGCUGUGCUAUGUUUGGGAAAUUAAAAGUAGUUGUUUAGAGUGGGAAUGAGUGCUGGAGCGUUAAGAGUACUCAUUAGCAUAGUAUGAUAUUGUCUCCAUCUGAUACAGGGCAUCUGCACACAUGACAUAACACACACACACACACACACACACACACACACACACACACGGGCGGGGGGGGAGAGAGAGAGAGAGAGAGAGAGAGAGAGAGAGAGAGAGAGAGAGAGAGAGAAGAAA